rnacentral:lncRNA from 1 species
CAAUGAUACGUCCUGUACAUGACAUUAUUGAUUAAUGACGAUUUUCAACUACAUCUUUAAGAUCUCAAAUCUUACUAAUCAAAUUUGAUCAAAAAUGAAAACUUUGACUACUUUCUUAGAAAUGUAUUAUUAUUACUAUUAUUUUCCUGCAUACAGCAUAUAAUUAAUUUCUCACAACUAUUUAUUUAAAUAUUUCAAAGCUCACAACCAUAUUUAUAAAUUAAUAUAUAUUCACAAAAGGUUUUGGUUGGUGGACUAGUGCGGUCCCUCUGCUUCUUAGUGUGUCUUCCACUAUCAUGAAAAGCAAAAUAAAGUCACUAUAAGGACAGCUAAAAAUAAUUGAACCGACUAUACUAUCCACACAAAACCAAAAAUGGAAGCUACAAUUUUCACAAAAAUCCUCUAUUUCUUCACUCUUUUUCUUUCCCUUUUAUUUAUAAUCACUUCCGUAACAGGCCAAUCACCAUGCAAUGGUACAAUAGCUAAGUGUAUCGAAGAGUUGGAGAUAUUAAUGGAGUCUGAUAUUAGUAGAAGAUUUCUUGAAGAAAGAAAAAAGUAUAUUUCUCCAGGAGCUUUGAAAAGAAAUCAGCCGGUUUGUAACGGCGGCGGUGGCGGCGAACCGUAUUUGCGACGCUGCCUUCCGCGGCCGUCAAAUCCGUAUAAUAGAGGUUGUUCUAAGUGACAAGUGGGUUGCUCUGAUGGUAAACAUCUUCCACUUCCAACUAAGAAGUUGUGAGUUCGAGUCAUCCCAAGAGCAAGGUGGGGAGUUCUGGGAGAUAAGGAUACCGAUGGUCAUUUGGAAACUGCCUCUCUACUCCAGGGUAGGGGUAAGGUAUGCGUACACACUACCCUCCACAAACUCCACUAGUGAAAUUAUACUGGAUUGUUGUUAUUGUUUAGAGGUUGUUCUAAGUAUUAUCAUUGUAGAAGUGAUCAAUGAUAUAAAAAAAAAGGGUGAUUCUGAAUUUUAUGUUUUUCUUUUCUUUCUACUUAUGAUGUUGUGUUUACGUGGUUAUGAUUUGUAGAUGAAAUUGUUUCUUUCAAUGCUAGCUAUUGAUGUUAUUUUCUUUUCUAAUUAUGAUGUCCGGACUAGAUUGCAAAACCUAAUUACUAAUAUUAACGUUGAUAUUUCUUUAUGUACUUAAUUAUACUAGCCAAUAAUUUCAUUGAAUAACAACAAGCAGAAUUUAUUUUUGAUAGAUUUUGUAGUUUUGGAAACUUCAAGGAGGUUUGACAUCAGCUUCUUUUCUCUAGUAAGUUAUUUGGAACGAUUAAGGCUUUAAUGAUAAUUUUAUACUUCAAACGAUUUUUUUUUUUACAAAAUAAUUCUCUAGUACAUAAUUAUUUUCUGUUGUUUAUUAAUGUUAAUACAUUAUCCCGAGAGGGAGGAAGCUCACUAAAACUGCAACUCGUUAAGGACGAUGAGGAAAAAUAAUAAAUUUAAUAAGCGAGGAAGUGUAGAAAAGAUCAUAACUAGGUAAAAAAGAUUAGCAAGUAUAGGAUUUCAUUUUAUAUUAUUGACUUAAUGUUGUAUCAGAAUUAUGGCAAAGGAAAAAACAGGGGAAGAGCAAAAUUUCCAUUUAGUUAAGUAACGUCAAAUAUCUUUGAAUAACUAAUCAUGGAGAUACUAUGGUCUAUGUCCAUACGCAUGUUAGUUAUAAGAAUUUAAUAAGAAUAUGCCUCACCACAUUUGGAUAAUUGUUAAAUAGGUGUUUUUUGUUUGUUUUUGCCUUUGGUGUGAGUUAAGAAUUUAGCAAAUGUCAUUUCUAGUUUACAAUGGUUGACAAACAACUACAAAAUACUUACUAACCGGAGACGAAGUAUAAAUGAUUUCUUAUGAUAGACAACAANNNNNNNNNNNNNNNNNNNNNNNNNNNNNNNNNNNNNNNNNNNNNNNNNNNNNNNNNNNNNNNNNNNNNNNNNNNNNNNNNNNNNNNNNNNNNNNNNNNNNNNNNNNNNNNNNNNNNNNNNNNNNNNNNNNNNNNNNNNNNNNNNNNNNNNNNNNNNNNNNNNNNNNNNNNNNNNNNNNNNNNNNNNNNNNNNNNNNNNNNNNNNNNNNNNNNNNNNNNNNNNNNNNNNNNNNNNNNNNNNNNNNNNNNNNNNNNNNNNNNNNNNNNNNNNNNNNNNNNNNNNNNNNNNNNNNNNNNNNNNNNNNNNNNNNNNNNNNNNNNNNNNNNNNNNNNNNNNNNNNNNNNNNNNNNNNNNNNNNNNNNNNNNNNNNNNNNNNNNNNNNNNNNNNNNNNNNNNNNNNNNNNNNNNNNNNNNNNNNNNNNNNNNNNNNNNNNNNNNNNNNNNNNNNNNNNNNNNNNNNNNNNNNNNNNNNNNNNNNNNNNNNNNNNNNNNNNNNNNNNNNNNNNNNNNNNNNNNNNNNNNNNNNNNNNNNNNNNNNNNNNNNNNNNNNNNNNNNNNNNNNNNNNNNNNNNNNNNNNNNNNNNNNNNNNNNNNNNNNNNNNNNNNNNNNNNNNNNNNNNNNNNNNNNNNNNNNNNNNNNNNNNNNNNNNNNNNNNNNNNNNNNNNNNNNNNNNNNNNNNNNNNNNNNNNNNNNNNNNNNNNNNNNNNNNNNNNNNNNNNNNNNNNNNNNNNNNNNNNNNNNNNNNNNNNNNNNNNNNNNNNNNNNNNNNNNNNNNNNNNNNNNNNNNNNNNNNNNNNNNNNNNNNNNNNNNNNNNNNNNNNNNNNNNNNNNNNNNNNNNNNNNNNNNNNNNNNNNNNNNNNNNNNNNNNNNNNNNNNNNNNNNNNNNNNNNNNNNNNNNNNNNNNNNNNNNNNNNNNNNNNNNNNNNNNNNNNNNNNNNNNNNNNNNNNNNNNNNNNNNNNNNNNNNNNNNNNNNNNNNNNNNNNNNNNNNNNNNNNNNNNNNNNNNNNNNNNNNNNNNNNNNNNNNNNNNNNNNNNNNNNNNNNNNNNNNNNNNNNNNNNNNNNNNNNNNNNNNNNNNNNNNNNNNNNNNNNNNNNNNNNNNNNNNNNNNNNNNNNNNNNNNNNNNNNNNNNNNNNNNNNNNNNNNNNNNNNNNNNNNNNNNNNNNNNNNNNNNNNNNNNNNNNNNNNNNNNNNNNNNNNNNNNNNNNNNNNNNNNNNNNNNNNNNNNNNNNNNNNNNNNNNNNNNNNNNNNNNNNNNNNNNNNNNNNNNNNNNNNNNNNNNNNNNNNNNNNNNNNNNNNNNNNNNNNNNNNNNNNNNNNNNNNNNNNNNNNNNNNNNNNNNNNNNNNNNNNNNNNNNNNNNNNNNNNNNNNNNNNNNNNNNNNNNNNNNNNNNNNNNNNNNNNNNNNNNNNNNNNNNNNNNNNNNNNNNNNNNNNNNNNNNNNNNNNNNNNNNNNNNNNNNNNNNNNNNNNNNNNNNNNNNNNNNNNNNNNNNNNNNNNNNNNNNNNNNNNNNNNNNNNNNNNNNNNNNNNNNNNNNNNNNNNNNNNNNNNNNNNNNNNNNNNNNNNNNNNNNNNNNNNNNNNNNNNNNNNNNNNNNNNNNNNNNNNNNNNNNNNNNNNNNNNNNNNNNNNNNNNNNNNNNNNNNNNNNNNNNNNNNNNNNNNNNNNNNNNNNNNNNNNNNNNNNNNNNNNNNNNNNNNNNNNNNNNNNNNNNNNNNNNNNNNNNNNNNNNNNNNNNNNNNNNNNNNNNNNNNNNNNNNNNNNNNNNNNNNNNNNNNNNNNNNNNNNNNNNNNNNNNNNNNNNNNNNNNNNNNNNNNNNNNNNNNNNNNNNNNNNNNNNNNNNNNNNNNNNNNNNNNNNNNNNNNNNNNNNNNNNNNNNNNNNNNNNNNNNNNNNNNNNNNNNNNNNNNNNNNNNNNNNNNNNNNNNNNNNNNNNNNNNNNNNNNNNNNNNNNNNNNNNNNNNNNNNNNNNNNNNNNNNNNNNNNNNNNNNNNNNNNNNNNNNNNNNNNNNNNNNNNNNNNNNNNNNNNNNNNNNNNNNNNNNNNNNNNNNNNNNNNNNNNNNNNNNNNNNNNNNNNNNNNNNNNNNNNNNNNNNNNNNNNNNNNNNNNNNNNNNNNNNNNNNNNNNNNNNNNNNNNNNNNNNNNNNNNNNNNNNNNNNNNNNNNNNNNNNNNNNNNNNNNNNNNNNNNNNNNNNNNNNNNNNNNNNNNNNNNNNNNNNNNNNNNNNNNNNNNNNNNNNNNNNNNNNNNNNNNNNNNNNNNNNNNNNNNNNNNNNNNNNNNNNNNNAAAGAGCGUUAUAUAUAGUUAGAUAAUUCUUUAUUUUUACAUGCAUUUUCGUAAUACUUGGCAAAAAUAACCACAAGUGGGUUCUGGACUCAUAUAAGCACUUCAACGAAAUAAAAUGGAAGUUUCCGCUAGAUAUUUCUUAGAUUUUGUGGUUUCCGCUAGAUAUUUCUUAGAUUUUGUGGUUUCUGGCAUGAAACAAGGGGGCCAUCUAUUAAUACUCAUUCCUUUCAAAUUAGAUCGGCUACUUUCCUUUUUAGUUUGUUCCAAAAUAAGUGACACAUUUCUAAAUUAAUAAAUAAUUUAAUUUUAAACUCUUCAUUUUACCCAUUUUACCCUUAACAAGAAGUUUUUAUAACCAAACAAAUGUCAUGACCCCACAAAGCUUUUACCUUAAGUUUUUAAGACCGCAUAUUUUAAAAGUCUACUUCUUUUUUCUUAAAGUUCGUGUCGAGUCAAACUAACUCAUCUAAAUUGAAAUGGAGGGAGUAUUAUAUAUAUGUAGAUUGAAGUCGUGUAUUUCUUAAUUUAAAAUUUUAUAACUAUUUUAAAUUUUAUUUUUUAAUCAAAUUAUUUAAUCGAGAUCUUUUUUUAAAAUUGAAUUGAAUUAAUUUAAAAUGGAUCGAACCGAAUUAAUCCAAAAUGAAUCAAACUGAUAAAAUGUCCACCCAUAUUCAAUUUCGUCACUAGUGGUCGAUUUGCAUUAAAAGCAGUGACACAUGUUACUAUCAAAUCCUAGAUCCACCUCUAAAUUUGCAGAUCAUACAUGACCCUUGAGUAUAUUUUCUUGUAGAGUGAUGAAAUGAGAAUUUUGCAAAUUCCUUUCAAAAUUUUAGGGCAUUACAUACUGAAACAAUAUUCAUAAAUUUAAUCGAAUAAGAUUAAACAAGAGCUUACUGUAACGAAACUAUAAAUGCAUGCAGUAUAGUUCACGGUUUGUGAGUUGUUCUAAGAAAUUAUUUUUGAGUUUCUUAGUAUUGAUAGUAUAUACAACUUGCCUUGAUAGAAAUUGAUGGAAACACUUUACAAGUUGUUUGUGGGGUUCUAUUCUGUUGCAUCUCAAAAGUCUUUUUCUUUGAAUCACUUUCACAUUAUCGGCAAGUGAAUUGAAAGAAUUGGUCAAAAUUUAUUUGUUUCAUCCGUCUCGAUUUAUGUGAUGAUGUUUUUACGAACAUGAAAUUUAAAAUAAAAAUAAUUUUUUAAAAACAUAUAGUAUAAAACAAGUCACGCAAUAAAUCAUUACAGUAAGAAUAAAAUAAAAAGAUAACAACUGUUAGAAGUUUGGCCUUUUACUUGCAAGCAAGCUAUCAAUUCUCUUAGUUCACUUGCCAACCCCACAAACGACUUUGAGUCUUUCCCUUAACUUCUAUGCCCUAUAUUGCGUUGAAUGCUCUGAUGUCUUAUCAACAGAAAGACCUCAAAAUUGAACUAUUUUCAGAGUAAUUAUAAUUUUUGAAUUGUGGUUAAUUCAGUAAUCUCUCCUUAUUUUUAUCCGAUGAAAUUUAUGAUUUUUUUUCGUGUCCCCAAAAUUUUCUAAACUUUGUUAUUUUGUUCCAUUCUUUGCUCAACUUGAGUCUUUUCUGACAUGAAUUAGAUGCCAACAUGAUAUGAGAUGUCAUGAAGUGCAUAAAUUCACUUAAAAUUAUAUGUAUGAUUUCAAGUUAUUAUUUAAGCCCGCUUAUUCCGAAAUUUAGCCGCAACUCUAUUUCCUUUUACUCAAAUUCAACAUUCUAAACAAAAAAAAAAAAAAAUAAGUGAGAAAAAUAAAGAAAAAAAAUAUACAGUUGGAACAAAUAAUCAAUGUAUAUGUCCAAUUGAACAUGAUCAAACUCAACUUGCACUAGAAAUGAUCUUUUAGGUAUUUGCGACAUGUGUUUUAUUUGAAACAUUUAAAGAGAGGCGAAACUAGGAUCUUUAGCUUCUAGAUUCUGGACCACAAUCAUUUUUGCUUAUUGGGUUCUAAGUAGAUUAUUUAUACAUAUUAAAUAAUUUUUUUAACAUAAAAUAUAUUUUGACCUAAAUUUUCAUAACUAUAAUGAUAGCUCCGCCCUGCAUUUGAAUACCAAGGCAAAAGGAAGAAGAUGAAAAGCAAAAGGUAAAAAGUUCCUUUAAUGCUAAUUUUAAUUGAAAGAUGGUUUUUUUUGCUCAACAUUUAAAAUGAUGGCUAAACUUUAAAUACCAUGCCAAAAACUGGCCUGCCACACUAUUUCUACUGGACACCAAAAAGAAGCCAACUGCCCAAACCCAAUGUAAACAAAAUCUAAAUUUUGAUAUUGAGUUAAAACCAUAGUCAAAAUGCUGCAAUCUCACAUUGGUCCAUUUUCACUGCCAUUUGUGAAACUGCAAAAUGAAAUGGCAAGUCUGCCAUUUUAACACCAGACUUAUUUUUUUACUUUGAAUAAAUCUCACUAUAACCCCUUACAUACCAACCCGGUGAUAUAAAAACAACAUACUUAAUUUCAACCUAAUAUAAAAACGAAAAAGGGCAAAAACUGCCCCAAACUUAUUCGCUGUGGUUUUAAAAUAACCUCGUUCACCAAUUUUGUUAAAACUGCCUUCACCGUUAAAAAUAUGGCCUCAUUCAUACUCUCGGAAGUAAUGGCCCUAUUUUGAUUAAGAAAUAUUUUUAUUACUUAUUAUAUGUCAAUUUUCUAUUGGUUUAAAUUAAAACCUCAGCCAACAUCCACUGAUUAAACCACCUCCAUGACCCAAAACACUCAUACCUGACCCAUGCCUCCCCCCUUUUAAAAUGCCCUAACUUCUCUUCUUCCAUCCCUGCGAGUAACUCUCACUCAACAUUUUCUCUAAUCAUCUUCCAUGGCCAAAGUAUAAUAACUCACCAUUGCUGAUAGAGGACCGCCACCUUCGGCUUCAACUUUUAGAUCUUCACCUUUCAACACCAAUAGAUCAUUAUCUCCCACUCAGAUUUUUCGACCUUAGUUUUAUUUUUAAAUUAACAUAUUUUUGUAAAAUCAAUUUUCUGAGUGAAAUCUGAUAUUUUUGGGAUUAAAAUAAUGGUUCAUUUUAAGACUUUAGAGCCUAAUAAGUUGUCUUUUUGUCAAAGUUAUAUUUCUUGUGCCACCAUGUAGUCUUUUGAUGUUAAUUGAAAUCAUGCGAGAAAAUUAUCUUCACAGUUCGUCGAUGGUAAUUAAGUUGGGGAAGAUGAAUAGGGAAAGAGAUAAGAUACCAAAUAAUUAAAAAAAAUGAAAUUUUGACAAAUGAAACUUACAUAACGAUUAGAUCAUGAGUGGGGUGUGGAAUCGGGUGUUUUGAGGGGUUAAAAGGGAGUUUAACGGGUCGGAACAAUUAAAAUGAGUCGUGGGUGGGUUAUUUACGGAUUAUAUUUGGGAUGGAGUGGGAUUUUAAUCUUGACCAACAAGCAAUUGCCAUGUCAAAUAUAAUAAUUCCUUUUUAUUUCUACAAUGGUUCGUCAGAAAUAAGGGCAUGAAUGGGCUUGAUUUUUAACUGUAAGGGCAGUUUUAACAACAUAGGUGGACGAGAGAUAUUUUUGAACAAAAGCGAAUAUGUUAGAGGCAAUUUUGAUCCUUUUCCGAUAUAAAAAUAGGAAUAACCAUUAUCCUAAUGAAUAUAAAGUCCAACUUUAUUGAGAUUUUGAUGGUUAAAAUGAAAUGAAUGGUAUGGGCAGAAAGACGAAUUUCAUGGAUAUUUGAUUUUUUUUUUAUUUCUUACUUUUGAGAUAGUUAGUAGCAUGCUUAGGCCGUCCACACUCGGCUAGGCAAACUUUAGGAUGCUUUAUUUAUUUUUAAGGGAAAGGUUGUUCCCUCAUAUGCAGGGGAAUGCCCCAUAGAAUUUGUAUAUAUCUUAUUCGGGGUAUAUCCCGUAGUGAAUGUAAUUAGAGGCCGUGACCGACAUCAUGGUGUAGACUGUUAGUAUUUUCUUUUCCUUUUUCUUUUCUUUUAUUUAGGUGGGGACAACCUCAAGCCUUUUGUGUGUUUAUCUUGCUUCUAUGUGCUUUCGCCUCAAUUAGAAUAUUUUUUAAAGCCAACUAGAUCAUGUGCGCAAUUGUGACUUUCACGGGACUCGGGGAAUGUCUAACAUCUUCUCCCCGAGUCAAAUGAACCUCCUUACUUGAAUCUCUGGUGCAAACUGGUUUAGAAUCAAAUAUGUUUUAAAGGUAAAUGGUGACUUGGCACACCGAGAUUAUAUGUCAAGUGGCGACUCUGAAGAUCCUUCAAAAUAUAAUUUUGUCACUUUUCAAUUUUGAAAACUCUUUUGAGCUUUAAAAUCACUUUCUUUAUUAUUUUAAAGGGGUUAAUGAUAAGUAAAAAAGGUGUGUGAUAGCCCUAGAGGCCAAUCACACUUAGGACAUUAUUGCAUUGCCUAGUGGGAAGAAACUUAUAGGGUGUAAGUGGGUCUAUAAGAUUAAGUAUAAGGUUGAUGGCGUUGUUGAAAGGUAUAAAGUUAGGCUUGUUAUUGAGGGUGACACCUAGGUUGAGGGGGUGGACUUUAAUGAAACUUUUUCCCUUGUUGUAAAGAUGUUCGUUGUUAAGUAUCUAGUGGUUAUUGCAAUUAAAAAUGGUUAGCCUUUGUUUAAAUUAGAUGUUAACAAUGCCUUUUUACAUGGUGGUUUGGAUGAAAAAGUCUAUAUGAAGCUUCCUCCUGGUCUUUCUGUCAUUACUGCCUCUUCUUCUUCUUCUUCUUCUUCUUCUUNNNNNNNNNNNNNNNNNNNNNNNNNNNNNNNNNNNNNNNNNNNNNNNNNNNNNNNNNNNNNNNNNNNNNNNNNNNNNNNNNNNNNNNNNNNNNNNNNNNNNNNNNNNNNNNNCUUCUUCUACGUUGGUUUGUCGUUUACAAACGUCCCUCUAUAGCUUGAGACAAGCCUCAAGGCAAUGGUAUGCUAAGCUUUAUCAAGCCCUUUACUCUAGAGGUUAUACUCAUUCCCUUAAUGAUUACUCCCUGUUCAUCAAGGGUUCUCCUGGUCAUAUGGUUAUCCUUGUUGUCUAUGUUGAUGAUAUAAUAUUAACUAGGAUGAUCUUGCUGAAAUCACUGCUUUGAAGACACUUCUGAAUGCCCAGUUCAAAAUCAAAUAUCUGGGCACUCUUCAUUAUUUUUUGGGGAUUGAGGUUUCAUCUUUACCUGGUGGUGUGCUCCUCAAUCAGAAGAAAUUUGUAUUUGAUCUUUUGCGGGAAUUUAAUUGUUUAGAGGUUGCUUCUGUUGUUUCCUUUGGAAUUAAACUCCAAACUGAAGGCUGAUUGUGGUGAUCUGUUGGCUCAACCUGAGAGAUAUAGGAGUCUAGUUGGGAAGUUGUUAUUCCUCACCAACACUAGGCCUGAUAUUUAUUUUUGGGUGCUACAUCUCAGUCAAUUUCUUCAAUCUCCAAGAGUCCCUCAUAUGGCUAUUGCUCUACAUUUGUUGAGGUACCUCAAGGGCACACCUGAUCUUGGCCUAUUUUACUCUAACUCCUCCGAUUUUACUAUCUCAGCAUAUUCCGACAGUGAUUGGGCAGCCUGCCCGGACACCAUGCGAUAUGUUACUGGAUUCUGUGUGUUUCUGGGUGAUAGCUUAACUUCUUGGAAGUCUAAUAAGUAGCCUGUCGACAAGGAGUUGUUCAUAUUGCCAAAAAUCCAUUUUCCAUGAGCAGACAAAGCAUAUUGAGGUCGAUUAUCACUUUGUUCAAGGGAAGCUUUCUAAUGGUUUCAUUCAACUCUCUCAUGUUUCCACUUCAAAGUAGUUUCCUGAUGUUCUCACCAAACCUUUAACUGGGUUGCUUCAUCACCAAUUUGUUUGCAAGUUUCAGAUGUUAUCCCCCUCCAACUUGAAGGGGGUGUUGGACUCAUGGACUAUUUGGAAUCUAGGCCCAUAAGGAAACACUGAGCAACAUAACCUUUAUUUAUCUUACUUGUAAUUGGGCCUAUUGUAAUUAUGCAACCGGCCCAUUUAUAUAUUUAAUAGUUAGCCUAUUCAAAUUUUACAUUGUAUUAGUUAUGUGUAAUAUGGGCAUUAUAUAAUAUGAAGGGUCAACCCGGGUCACCCCAUCGGAGUCGUUUUCCUCAAAUCAGUUCUAGAAAGAUCAUCUCUCCUCUCUUCUCUCUCACAUGAACCCUAAUACAUUUUCCCAAAACCCCAAUCGAUUCUUUCAUAUUUUCAGGUUGAUCGUCGUGUCACUAUUCUUCCGAUGAAAAUCAAAAAUAUUUUUGUAUUCCAUCAUAUCUACAUCCUUUGAAAAUUGAUGUCUGAAAUUCAGGGAUUUUUAGUAAGAGAGUCAUAAUUUCUUUUCCUUAGCUUUUGAGAGAUCGAUGCUUGAUAUGCUAAUCCAUGCUACCUUGUUCUUGUUUGUUUUUGUUGCUUUAUUUUUACUGUUCCUUGAGCUGAAGGUCUAUCGGACAAAACCUCUCUGCUUUGACAAGGUAGGGGUAAGGUCUGUAUAUCCAUUAAUCUCCUUGGAUCUCACUUGUGAGAUUACACUGGGUUUGUUAUUGUUGUUGUUGCUGCUGGAGCUUGAUAUGCUGAUAGAAAAUUAAGUCAAUAACAUAAAAUGAAAUCCUAUUCUUGCUAAUCUUUUUUACUAAAUUAUGAUCUUGUCUAGAAUUCCUCGCUUAUUAAAUUUAUUCUUUUUCCCUAUCGUCCUUAGUAACUUGCAGUUUAUUAAGCUUCCACCCUCUAGGAAUAGUGUAUUUAACAAUUUAAAUUAAUAACAACAGAAAAAUAAUUAUGUGCUACGUACAUUCUUGAUAUGCAAAAAAUAAAAGAAAAAAAGAACUCGUUUGAACUAUAAAAUUAUCAUUAAAGUGUUUCUCUUCUGAUAGAAACUUAAGGGUCACCAAACUCUAUCAGUUUCCACGGAAUAUACACAAUAAGAGAUAAGUAAAUGACACAGCAGAGUUUUACGUGAAAAACUCCCACCUCAUGGGAAUUAAACUCUUAAUCCCUCACUCACUUGUAAUAACUCUAUUACAAAGCUCACAACUGGACUAACUCUAGCCAAGACACAAAACACAAGGUUUGUGGUUUUACAAAUAAUUUCCUACACAAUGCUUCUAACUAAGCUAAGUAGGAAUUACAAGUAAAUCAGUUUAACAAAGGUGCAACAUAACUAAAUAUAUAUAAUAACACAAUGCUGGAAACUGGUCCUUCGUUAUGCUGUUCUUUGUUCUUGAAGCCUAGAAGUCACUUGCAAGAUGGCAACAUACUUGAGACGAAACUUGAUUAAUUCUCGGAUGUGCAAGUAUGUUUUCUCCAUUGCUUCAUGUUAAUAAUAUCUAAGUGAUAUCAUCUGGAUGAUGCAAGCAAUAUCCGGUAUAAGGCAUUCCUCAUAAAGUGGCUGUUGCACUGUUCACAAUGUUGCAUGUGUGUAGAGGAACAGUUGCAGCAGCUUUACAGCUGUGAGCAGUUGACUGGUACAAUCAGCAAAGGGAACAGAUGUCCAUCAGUUCCCUCUAUCGUCUCUUUGAUUCUGAUUGUUGGAACAUGUGCCUGACUUGAGACUUGUUGUUCUUGAGCAUUUUGAGGAUAUGUCACAAGUUCCCCAUCUAGUUCUUAUCAAUAAGUUUGUCUGAUCAUCAAAAUAUAACAUGGCAUAUAACCUAUCAAUUUUUCCCUUUUUGAUGAUGACAAGCUUGUAAUUGAAGUUCCCCUGAGAGCCAAAGUACCAUACAAUAUUCCCCUUAACUUGUUCCCCAUCAGUCAAUUUUCACCUUUUGGCAUCACAAAAAGAUUAGUCACAAGUAAUAAGCAAAAAGAAGUAUAGCAUGGUUAACUCAUGCCACAUGUGUGCACACAAACAUGGCUAAGAACAGAGCAUGAGUGUAAGGCAUGCAUAGUAAAAAGGAUGGGAUAUUCAUUAAUUGUAAAUAAAAGGGAGCCGAAUUAGCAGUACCAUUUGUUACACAACCAUUCACAAAAUAAAAUAACUUAAAAAGUACUAGCCACCAAAACAACAAAAUAAAAAGACCACGAUAUAGGACAGAUAGCUUUGAACUUGACACUGGAAAGGAACAUUAUUUUUAGAAGCACUAGAAGGGGGAGACAGGGAUGAAGAGGCAAGAGUUCGGAGGAGAAUAUCCAUUCAAGCAUUUACAAACACUUGCUCGUUAAGCAGCCGCUCCUUUAGGUCCUUGACCUGUUUCCUGAGAUCUGCAUUUUCCUUGGACAAACGGGCAGCCUUGCGCCUAGUGCACUGCUGGAACCAGGUGCCUCCUGAGCCUGAUUAAGUUGCCUUUGAGGAAUAGCAUUUUGUGUCUCCAGCCUCCUUAUCUCCUCAGUUGCAGCAUUCUAAGCAUCAAUCAACUAUGAGAUAGUGGAAUUACUGCCAACCCCUCCUUUCUUAUCAAUGCGCUCACACUCCUCUAAGGUGGUUUUGGAUAAGGUUUGCUUGCGAGUUACCACUUUUGCUUUCCCCAAAGGGACUUUGAAGGAGUUAAACACGUUGGUGAGUAAGAAUCCGUAAGGCAACCCAUGAUUACUAUCCUUAAAAUCUGCCACUUUCUUCAUAUGCUCUAUAACGAGUCCAGGUAGAUUGAUAGUAGUGUAGGCAUCCAGUGCUUUCAUGAGGAAUAGGUUUGCUCUUGACAUAAUGGAACACCUUUCAGACCUUGUUCACUAUCUCAAACACCAAUUGAUACACUAGCAGGAGGGCCUUCUUGUGCACCCGUUCCCCUUGCUGUGCAACAUCAUCCUUCAGAAUGACACUUCUGAAAUUGGGAGAACAUGUCCCUUCAAUGGAUGAAAUCCCUUCAGUUGGCACCCCCAAAAUGUUCCCCAAUACAACCUCAUCCAUCACAAAGUGUACUCCAUUCACCUUCAAACGGAUAUUAUCAUCUUUUAUUGUGAACAUGACUGCAUAGAAGCUACGUACUUCUUCCUCAUACACCUUGGGACUCUCAUUGGUGAACAAGUGUGUCCACUUUUGAAACUCACAAAUAUCAAGCAGUUGACGCAUCCCUGUCAUGUACAAAAUAUUAGGUGAAAAUGUUCUUCCCCACAGUACCCUCUAGUUUUUCAGGUUUGCUCUUCUUUCAUCAUUGCCCACACUUACAUUGGCCUUCUUGGAGGAACCAGAUUCCUCAUUAUCACCAACCUUCCUUUUCACAGAUUUUCUCACACUUUUCUCUUUCUUUGCAGAUUUCUCACACUUUCUCACCAGACUUUUCAGACACCUUCUCACUAGACUUGACACCUCAUUUUCAACUUCCACAGCUUUCAUAGAUGGCUCGCUCCUGGGUUAUGGAAUCACAGGUUUCUUAGAGGACUUACGAAUUAAGGAAGCAUGUUCCUCACUAACCUCUUCAUCGUCAACAUCAACAACAAGUGCUGGAGGUACUUCUUCCUCAUUCACUAGCUUUUCCCCUUUCACCAACCUCCUCAUUUUCUUCUUUUCUUUGUUUUUCUUCAGAACAGUUUCAAGGGCUUCCUUCUUUUACAGCCUGGUAGUGGGUCUUUUAAGAGUAGGCAAAUUAGGAACUGCCCUUCCACUUCUAGCAGCAAUGAAGCUUGCUAUAAGCAUAUCAUCAUAGGCUUCCUCACUAUUUUCAUUUUUCUCUUCAGAUAAAGAUCUCAUCUCAAGAAUGCCAAAGUUUAACGGCUCAACAUAUAAGUGAGGAAAAGGAGCAGGAUCAGUACUGACCUGGGGCUCUUUUGAAGAGAAGGGAGUUUCAUCCCAAGUAGGAGCAGAGGACUCCUCUUGGGCUGAGGGAACAAGUCCCUCAUUUGUUUCCUUAAUAGUACUAUCAGGUCCUAGAUUUUCAAGGGGCACCAGUUUCCUACCCUCUUCCUAAUGACCAUUACCUUCCCCUUGAGACCCAAUGGUCUCAUUAACAUCCUCAUAACCACCAACCAAACUUCCCUCAGCAGCGAUGAACAAUAGGAAUAUUACAUGUGGGGUUGGCAACGUUCAAAUCGAAGCUUGGAAUGAUCGUUGCUGAACCAUCACUACUACGAACCACAGUAUGUUGGGCUUUAGCACUCUCUUCAACUUUCAGACUGGAAACUUUCUGAUCUUCGUCACCAUCUACUAUUUCUCCCUCUUUCAUUUCUCCGAUAAGGUACAAGGCAUAGUCUUAGGAACAAACCUUUUAGAGUUUUGAGUCUUGCGACUCCGGUGAGAACCAAAACUCGAUUGGGUUGGAGAGGAAGUAGUAGGUGGUUUGGGGGUCUGGUGUAGGGUUUUGAAUGGGUGACAAUAGGGGACUUAGACUCUCGUUCUUGUGCUUCGUGAGACGAAGACAUAGUGGGGACUAUACUCGAAACGUUUGGAGCUUCUAGAUUUUCAAACAUAGUGAGGAUUUUUAGUGAUAACAAAAGAUGAGUGGUUAGUUUUGAGAGAAAAAGAGAAUUUUUGUCUUUGAUGUGAAUAGUGAUGAAAGAGACAACGUUUGGGUUUAUUUAAAGAGGGUGAGGGAUCGGUUACAAACGGGUAUAGAUUGCUGGGUAGACGGGUCGUUUAGUAAUUGGUGUGACGUUUGGAUUCUAAAGAGAUGUAAAAAAGAAACUGAAAUUUUAAUGAUGUGGCACUUUUACAACCGUUAACAAAAAUAUGCAUGAGAGUACAAAGGAACUACUAACCUGAGUCAAAGGAACCAUGUUCCCUAACUUAGUUUUAUAAAUGUGAGUCUCAUCCUUUUACCAAGAUGCAAUUACACUAGAUUGCUCUGUAAUUGCCAUGUGUAUCUACCUGUAACGGUAUAGAAAUGAGUUAGAACUUGCCAGAAAACACUUUUUAGUUGUUUUACAUGUUCAGACUUUCAUAUCCAAUCAUUGAGGGACCAAGUGCUUAGUUUGAUUUUAUCAACCCCACUGCCAAUCGAUUCUUCUCAAAGUACUCUCUGCUUAGUGCUUUAGUGAAGAUAUCUGCUACUUAGUCUUCUGUUUUACAGAACUUCACGCAAAUAAGACAUUUUCAACAUUAUCUCUGAGAAAAUGAUGUCGCACAUCAAUAUGCUUUGUUCUCUUAUGAUGAACUAGGUUCGUUACCAUGUUGAGAGCACCGGUGUUAUCACACAAUAAUGGCACACAAUUAGGGAAUACACCAAAGUCCUCCAGUCACUGCUUGAUCCACAACAAUUGAGCACAGCAAGAGGCUAUUGUCACAUAUUCGGCUUCUGCAGUUGAAAGAGCCACAUAUUUUUGCUUCCUUAUACCAUAUGAAAUCAGACACGAUCCCAGAAAAUGUGCCAUGCCAGAAGUGCUUUUUCUAUCCACCAGAUAACCAGCAUAAUCAGCGUCAGCAUACCCAAUCAAGUAUAAAUUAUCUCCUGAAGGGUAGCAGAGAACUAGGUCCUAAGUUCCUUUAAGAUACCUUAGAAUUCUCUUGGCAGCCUUUAGAUGAGAUUCCUUUGGACUAGAUUGAAACCUAGCACAUAAUCCUACAUUGAAUAUGAUAUUUGGUCUACUAGCUAUGCGAUACAAGAGUUAACCAAUGAUACUUCUGUACAUGGUUUCAUUCACAGGAGAAUCAGGUUCAUCUAUGUCCAGACGAGUGGCAGUAGCAAUAGGGGUAUCAAUGAGUUUUGAACUUUCCAUCUCAAAUCUCUUUAGGAACUCUUUAAUGUACUUAUGCUGACUUGUCAUCGUGCCCUUAGGAGUUUGCUUAACUUGCAAUCCCAGGAAAAACUUCAAUUCCCUCAUCAUGCUCAUUUCAAACUCACUUCCCAUAAUCUUUGCAAACUUUUCACACAAGAAAUCAUUUAUUGCACCAAAGACGAUGUCGUCGACAUAGACUUGCAAAAUGAGCAGGUUCCACCCUAGUUUCUUCAGAAAUAGGGUGUUGUCGAUUUUUCCUUUUGUGAAGCCAUUUUCAAGGAGGAAUUUGGACAACCUUUCAUACUAUGCAUGAGGGUCCUGCUUCAGUCUAUAUAAUGCCUUGUCAAGUUUGAAUACAUGCUCAGGAUGCUCAUGACAUUCAAAACCAGGUGGUUGUUUGACGAAGACUUCUUCCUUUAGAUAUCCAUUCAGAAAUGCACUUCUGAUAUCCAUUUAGAACAAUUGGAAUUCCAUAUGAGAUGCAAAGGUAAUGAGGAUUCUGAUGGCUUCUAUUCGAGCAACUGGAGCAAAUAUUUUAUCAUGGUCGAUCCCUUCUUCUUGAUUGUAACCUUGAACUACUAACCUUGCCUUGUUCCUUGUUGUGUUCCCAAACUCAUCAAGUUUGUUUCUGAACACCCACCUAGUUCCUAUAACAGUUCUGUCUGGUGGUCGAGGAACCAGGUUCCAUACGUUAUUCCUGUCAUAUUGAUGGAGUUCAUCUUGUAUAGCAGUAAUCUAGUCAACAUCUUUCAAUACUUCCUGGAUAUGUUUGGGCUCAAUUUGAGAGAGAAAGGCUAAAAAGGCAUGUGAGAUUCUUGACUUUGAUCUAGUUUGAAUCCCUUAGUCAAGAGGAGUGAUCACAUUUUUAAGAUGGUGUGAAUUUGUGUUUCCAGUUAGACACUUGAAUCUCAUUGCGAGAGGAUCCAGGUUCCUCUGAAUAAGAUCCAUUGUAGACAUAAGUGCCACUUCUUAUCUCAACAUCAGGGGUUCCUUGCACAGCAUCAACAACUUUGUUCGCUGCUUCAGUUAUUGUGAUUGAGGGACCGGGUUCCUCUACAUCAGUUGGAGAUACAACUGCGCCAUCUUUAUUUGAUUUCUUGACCUGACUCAUCAUGUCAGCCUUUCCAUUUUCCAUAUCAAUGACUUCACCAGGAACCUUCGACUGCUCUCCGUCUUGACCAACCUUAUCAUGUGAAUCUUUCCCAAAUAGGUAGUGUAAUUUAUCAAAGAACACAUAUAUGCUUUCCACAACACAUUAAGUUCUUUUGUUAUAGACCUUGUAAGCUUUGCUUUGUGAUGAAUAGCCAAUAAAUAUUCCUUCAUCACUUUUGGCAUUAAAUUUUCCCAGUUCUUCCUUCCCGUUAUUGAGAACGAAAUAUUUGCAGCCAAAUGUCCUCAGAUAUGUUAGCUUUGGUUUUCUCUCGUUCAGUAAUUCAUACGGGGUUUUGUUCAAGAGAGACCUGAUCAUGCACCUACUCACCAAGUAGCAUGCAAUGUUGAUUGCCUCUUCCCAAAAACUUUUUGCAACACCACUGUCAAUCAGUAUUGUCCUUGCCAUAUCUUCAAGAAUCCUAUUUUUCCUCUCCAUAACACCAUUUUGUUGGGGUGCUCUUGAAGCUAAAAAAUUAUGACUUAUACCAUUUUCAGCAUAGAAUUCGACGAAUUUUGCGUUGUCGAAUGCUAUGCCAUGAUCAGAUCUUAUACUCACAAUAUUAUGGCUCAUCUUCACUUGAAUCUUCUUCACAAAAGUAGCAAACACUGGAAAGGUUUCAUCAUUGGAGCAAUCAUCCACUAUGAUGAAAAUGUACUUCUUUUCUCCUCUACUUGGCACCCUCAUAGGUCCACACAGAUCCAUAUGGAGGAGAUCAAGUGGGCUUGAGGUGCUUACUUCCUUUUUGGGCUUGAAGGAGAACCUGACUUGCUUUCCUUUCACAUAUGCAUCACACACCUUGUGAUCUUUGAAACUUGACAUAGGCAGCCACGAACCAUGUCCUUCUUGACCAAUUUGCUCAACAACAUAAAACUUGCAUGUCCCAAUCUUCUAUGCCACAGUUCAACAUCAUCAUCUACAACACUCAGACAUGUGAGAUCCCCAUUGUGCAAGGACUCAAAAUCAGCAACAUAAAUGCUUUUGUAUCUUUUUGCCAUCAGAACCACUUCACCAGUCACUAGAUUUGUGACUGUGCAGAUUUUUGACACAAAUUCUACUUUGUUUCCGUUGUCGCAAAUUUGAGAAACACUCAAUAAGCUACAUUUCAAGUCGUUCACAUAAUACAUAUUUUCAAUUGAGUGAGUGAGUGUCUUACUAAUUCUUCUAACUUCCAAAAUGUAUCCCUUUUUGCCAUUGCCAAAGGACACACUCCUUCAUGGCAGGGCUUUGAGUGAAAGGAAAUCAUUGAUGUUUCCACUCAAGUGUGCUUGGAGCAACCACUAUCCAUAUGCUAUUUUUGGCUGCUUCCUUUCACUACUUCUUGCAUAAGAGAAUCAAGGAUUAGACUUAGGAACCCAAACAAGUUUGUGUUCCUUGUGGUGAGGUAAAGGGCGAAUUAAACUUCUUUUUGUCAAGGCAGGAAAUACACGUUUUUAACGGAAGGACCAGGUUUCUUAGUAGCAGUUACCUUUUCAACAAAAACCUUAUUUUUCUGUUAGGAUUGAAUCCUAGCCUUACAAUUUUCUUUAAAGUGUCCAGUUUUGCCACAGUGAGUGCAAAACCAGCUAUCAGGGACAGUAACAUACUUGCUAUGUAAAGCUUCGGGAGUCUUUUCCUUUUGGAACCCGACUCCCUGCUUGCUCUCACCCAUUGUUUGUAUACAUGGCAGUAAUUGUAUUAGAGGACCAGGUCCACUUUAGAGAUUUUUCUAGGUCAUUUUUAUCGCUCCCACCAUUAUUUGUUUCAUUUUCAAGCUUAAUGUGUGACUCACUUGCAACUUCCUUUCCCUUCUGGAUAAUCCCAGAACGGUUUUUCCUUUUUAAUUCCUCUAUUAUUUCUUUUAGGUCCAUAACAACUACCAACACGUCAUCUCUCUCAUUUUCUACAUUUUUAAUUUUUUUUGUAAGAACAUCCUUUUCUUACUUUAGAACCUUGAUGGUUUCUUUUAGGUCAACCACUACGACUACCAAAUCAUCUCUCUCAAUUUCUAUCUCUCCUAGUUCCACAGUUAAUGCAUUUUUAUCAUUUAUAAGACUGUGAUAAGCAUCAAUUAAAAUAUUUGCCAAAGAUAUAAGCUUCUUCUAAGAGUAAGACUUCAAAUUUCUUUGAACGUCUAGAAAGUUUACCUCAUUAUCAUCAUCUUCAUCAUCAUCAGAGUUUUCCAUCAAGGCAAAGAUGGAGUCAUAUUCAGCUACUUCACUUUCCACUGCCAUCAUGGAGCUAUCACCUUGUCCAUCAUCUUCUCCAUAUUCACUGGAAGAGUCUCCCCAUGCAGCAAGAGCUUGUUUCACAAUAUUGUCAGCGACAUCUUUUCUCUUGAAUCUUUUGUCAGGAACUGGGUUCCUCUUUGCUGCUUUGUCUUUGUUAUGCUUGUACUGGUCUUGCUUGAGGAGAAGACAAUCCUUGAUGAAGUUUCCUGGAUUCCCACAUUUAUGACAUAAGUCAUACCCUUUUGGCUUGCUGGAGCUACCCCUUUUUAGAAUACCCCCAUUCCUGCAAACCAUUUUCUGAAAUCGCUUUGUCAGGUAAGCCAUAUCAGCAUCCUCAUCACUUGAGUCAUUGUUGUCAGCCUUAAGGACCAGGUUCUUCUCCUUCUUUGGUUCUCUUCUUUCAUGGUUCUUCUUUUUCUUCAUUUCAUAUGUCUUCAGAUUUUCAAUGAGUUCAUUAAUGGUCAGCUUUUCUAGAUCUUUUGCCUCUAUGAUAGCAUUGACUUUGCUUUCCCAGGAACUAGGUAGUACACUAAAUAUUUUCCUGGCAAGUUUGUUCCUUGGAAUGAUAUCUCCUAUAGAGUGAAGCUCAUUGAUGAUGGAGAUGAAUCGAGUGUGCAAGUCCUGAAUGGAUUGACAAGCAGAGCUUCGACUGCUGUACUUGAAUUGUUCCUUCAUGUGUCGUUUGGAGAGCUUCCCAGAUCUCCUUGGCUUAUUGACAAAAAGAGAUCAUGUUGUUUUCGUCUGGUCCAAUACCACAGACGAGGAUCUUUUUUUCUCGGAAGUUCUUCUCUAUAGCUUUUCGAUCAACAUCGCUUUAUUCCUUCCGUGUUUUAGGAACUGUCACUGCUGGUUCGUCAAUGUCUUCAUAAGGAUGAAGGGUCCAUCACAGAUAAUAUCCCAGAGCUCUGAGUCUUUAGCCAUAAUAAAAUCAUGCAUCCUUGUCUUCCACCUUCCAUGGUACUUUCCAUUGAAUUUUGGUGGUCUGUAGGUUGAUUGACCUUCUUCAAAGUUUGGUGGAGCAGCCAUUUGGAUCAUUCCUAGGUGUUAGCCUGAUAGAAAGAACCUGCUCUGAUACCAAUUGAUUCAACACCAAACUAUAUAGAGAAUCUGGUUCUCUAUCAAUUCCCACAGAAUACAUACAAUAAGAGAUAAGUAAAUGACACAAUAGAGUUUUACGUAAAAAACUCCCAGCUCACGGGAUUAAAAACCACGACCUACACUCGUAGGAUUUCAACUUCACUAACCGAGCAACUUUUAGAUUACAACCUAUUGUAACCUAGGAAUUAAACUCUUAAUCACUCACUCACUUGUAAUAAUUCUAUUACAAGAUUCUUUGUAAUAACUCUAUUACAAAGCUCACAACUCGACUAAUCCUAGCCAAGACAAAAAAACACAAGAUUUGUGGUUUUAAAAAUGGUUUCCUACACAAUGCUUCUAACUAAGCUAAGUAAGAAUUACAAGUAAAUCACUCUAACAAAGGUUCAACAUAACUAAGGACAUAUAAUAACACAAUGCUAGAAACUAGUCCUUCGUUAUGUUGUUCUUUGUUCUUGAAACCUGAAAGUCACUUGCAAGAUGGCAACACACUUGAGAGGAAACUUGAUUAAUUCUCAGAUGUGCAAGUGUGUUAAUAAUAUCCAAGUGAUGUCACCUAGAUGAUGCAAGCAAUAUUCGGUACAAGGCAUUCCCCAUAAAGUGGUUGUUGCACUGUUCACACUGUUGCGUGUGUGUAGAGGAAUAGUUGCAGCAGCUUUACAACUGUGAGCAGUUGACUGGUACAGUCGGCAAAGGGAACUGAUGUUCAUUUGUUCCCUCUGUCGUCUCUUUGACUCAGAUUGUUGGAAUUUGUGCCCGACUUGAGACUUGUUGUUUUUAAGCAGUUUGAGGAUGUGUAACAGGUUUUCCAUAUAUUCUGAUCAUUAAGUUUGUUAGAUCAUCAAAACAUAACUGGACACAUGGCCUACCAUCUUCUCAUUCUAUAUAACCUACUAGAGAAACGAUAGUAAAACUAACGUACAAAGGCAUUGCAAGGCUAACCCUGCAAGAUUGUUCGAAGGCAUUAUAAAGCUAACCUCGCAAAAUUCCUUCCAAAUAGCAUCCUAAUGUUUUUUCAUUUAUAGAAAAAACUAUUAUGUCAAUAUUUUAUUAUUCAUCAUUGCUCAAACUUUGCAAUAAAGGAGCGGAUGUCAAACCUCCUUGAGGUUUCCAAAACUACAAAAUCAAUAAAAAAUUAUAAAUUCUGCGAAAAUCCUAGAUUCCUUCUUGUUACUCCCUCCGGUAGAGGUGGCGUUUGUGCAGUUCAGAUUGAAUAUGAAAAUUUCGAUUUGGAUAUUCGAUUUUCGGAUUAAAUUAAUGACAAUCCAAAUCCAAUCCAAAUAAGUUCGGAUUGGAUCGGAUUUUUUAAGUUCGAUUUUGGAUUAAUUGGUUUGGAUAUUUUGAAUUCUCGAUUUUGAGCAUAUAAGUUUAGAUGCUUCUUUUUCUCGCACAAAUAAACAUCCAAAUAAAGUAUUCAUAUUAGAUUACCUAAAAAGUUCCUCAUUCUCACUGCGAUCAUCCAAAUUAAGUUUUCAAGUAAUGAAAUCAUUAUCAAGGAAAUACACACAAAGACAUUAAUAAGGCCAAUAAAAAGUAGCAAUAGUAAAACUAUAUAUGUCCAAAUAAAAAGUAUUAUGACAGUAACUUAGUAAUUAGUAUUGAAUAUAUGAGAUCAUGCCUAAUAGGUAGGGUCUUGGACUUAUUACUAUUGGCAUAUGGAUAUUAAAUACGAAGUAUAAAAUUUUUGAAUUUUCGGAUAUCCAUGAAUCUAAAGUACCAAGUCCAAUAUCCAAUCUGAAAUCCAAAAAAAUUAAAAAUUAAAUCUGAAAUCCAAUUCGUAAUCCGAAAAUCCAAACCCAAAAUCCAAAAGCUUCGAACUUCAGUUUGGAUUUCGGAUUUGCCCAAACUAUGCCAACCUCUAUCCUCUGGUUCAUUUUAAUUGAUUUUUUAAGCUAUUUUCAUACAUAUUAAGAAAUCUACUUCGUAACAUUAAUUAACAAUGAAAUUGACCAUAUCAAUCUUGAUUUGUUCAUUGAAAAUACAAUAAAUACUCCUAGGCUCAUUACUCCAAGGACAAUUUAAAAAAAAAAUUAAUUCCUUCUUGAUAUAUAAAAAAAUCAAAUAUUGUGGACUAACAAAAAAGGCAAUCAAUCAAAAUGAACGAGGGAAUAUUCAAUUUAAUUAUUGGCAAGUCUAAUUAAGUACAUAACGAAGUAUCAACGUGGCAAGUCUAAUUAAGUACAUAACGAAGUAUCAACGUUAAUACCAGUAGCUAGGUGGUGCAAGUUAGUUCGGACGUCAUAAUUAUAAAAAAAAUAACACCCCAAUAGCUAGCAUCGAAAGAACAAUUUCAUCUACAAAUCACAACCACAUGAACACAACAUCGGAAGUAGACAGAAGAAAAAAACAUACAAUUCAUAGUCACCCUCUUUUUAUAUAUCAUUGAUCACCUCUACAACGAUAAUACUUAGAACAACCUCUAUUAUACGGAUUCGACGGCGGGGGAAGACAGCGUCGCGAAUACGGUUCGCCGCCACCGCCGCUGUUACAAACCGGCUGAUCUCUUUUCAGAGCUCCAGGAGAAAUAUACUUUUUUCUUUCUUCAAGAAAUCUUCUACUAAUAUCAGACUCCAUUAAUAUCUCCAACUCUUCAUUACACUCAGCUAUUGUACCAUUGCAUGGUGAUUGGCCUGUUACAGAUGCGAUUAUAAAUAAAAGCGUAAGAAAAAUAGUGAAGAAAUAUAUAAGUUUUGUGAAAAUUGGAGCUUCCAUUUUUUGGUUUUGUGUGAAUGGUAUAGUUGGUUCUAUUUUUUGUAGCUGUCCUUAUAGUGACUUUAUUUUGCUUUACUUGAUAGUGGAAGACACACUAAGAAGCAGAGGGACCGCACUAUUCACCGACCAAAACCCACUUUUAUGAAGAUACAUUAAUAUAUAAAUAUGAUUGUGAGCUUUGAAAUAGUUUAAAUAAAUAGUUGUGAGAAAUUAAUUAUACGGAAAAAGUUAUGUAAAAUUGAGCACAUUUGUCAUUCGUUAAUAUUUUAGCUCAGGAUUGUCCUUAUCGUCACAUAGUUAAUUCAUAUAUGCCCUUAGAGUCAUACAGUUUGCCCAUAUAUGUCCUUUUUGAAACGAAAUCCACUCAAACUAAUUAGCUCUUUCGUUAAUUGUAUUAAAGUAUAUUACAAAUACUAUUUCAUUUUUAUUAAUAUUUUUUUUCUUUAUCUUUCUUUUUUUCUUUCUUCUUUUUUUCUUUUCUUCUCUUUUUUUUUCCUUUUUCUUUCUACCUUAUCCGAUUUCCUCCAUUGCUCAUGUCUUCUCCAUUUUCGUCACCAAUUUCACUUGACAAAACUCAUGAAUUCCAAUUACUAAGAAAAAUCUCUCAUAAGGUAAUCAAGUUACAAUUUCACUAGCCCUCUAAAUAAACGAACUUAAAUAGUUCCAAAAAUUAUGGUUUAAACUUUAAAAUAAUAAAAAUAUCUCAACCUUUAACAAUCAAAAGACCAAAAUAUUUAAAUUAUUUCCAAAAAGAUAAUUUAAUGAUUAAAAGCCUAGAGUUCAAGUUCUAGUAUUAUAAAUUUAAGUUGUUAGUCUUUUUUCAUCUUUUUUUCAGCUCUAUAUUUUCUAUUUUUUUUAUUAACUAUGUAAAUUAGGGGUGUACAUGGAACGUGUUGGUUCGAUUUUUAUCAAAACCAAACCAAACUAAUUAUAUCGGUUUUGUUAGAUUUUUCGGGUUUUUUGUUACAUAAAUAUUAUUUCAAUCUUACUUUGUUAAAUUGUUUAGAACUAAAUAUAUAUUCGGUAAAAAUUUAAAAACUGACAAACAUAUGAUCUAUUAAAAUAUUCUUAUGGGAGAAUUUUUUUAGUAAUUAAAAUUCAUGAGUUUUGUCAAGUGAAAUUGAUGACGAAAAUGGAGAAGACAUCAGCAAUGGAGGAAAUCGGAUAAGAGAGAAAGAAAAAGGAAAAAAAAAAAGAGAAGAAAAGAAAAAAGAAGAAAGAAAAGAGCAAAGUAAAGAAAAAAACUACUAAUAAAAAAUAAAUAGUGUUUGUAAUACACUUUAAUACAAUUAACGAAAGAGCUAAUUAGUUUGGGUGGAUUCCGUUUCGAAAAUGGCAUAUAUGAGCCAACUGUGUGACUCUAAGGGCAUAUAUGGACCAACUAUAUGACGGUAAGGGAAUUCUUGAGCUAAAGUAUUAACGAAUGACAAAUGUGCUCAAUUUCGUAUAGUACAAGAACAUAUUUGGAUAUUUUCCGUUAAUUAUAUGUUGUAUGUAAGAAAAUAAUAGUAAUACAUUUCUAAGAAAAGUAUUCAAAGUUUUCAUUGAUUAGUAAGCUUUGAGAUCUUAAAGAUGUCAUUGAGAAUCGUCAUUAAUCAAUCAUGUAUACGACCGGGGACGGCUCAAUCAAAUUGGUGGCCUCAAGCAAAACCUAUAAAGAGGCCUUAAGCUUUUCUUGAAAAAUAUUCACAUAGACUUUUAUCUAAAGUAAACUUUCUACUUUUUAAGAUGCAACGUCGUUAAUAAGGUUUUAUAAUUGAUUCUCUUUAUAUUUCUUUUUCAGUUGACAAUUUAACUAAUUAAUCUAAUUUUCUUAAGACAUUGCUUAAAUAGCUCAUUUUUUAGAUUAUAUUGAAGUUCAGUUCUCCUCUUUUUUUCCUUUUUGUGUGUUUUGAGUAAUUAAUCUGAUUAUAUUUUUAGUUGAGACAUUUGAACUCUAAUAUUUAAUAGAAAGCAAUAUAGACCUAUAAGCUAAAUCUAUCAGUGCUAAAAUUUAAUUAUAAGAUAAAAGAAAGUUAGAAUAAUAUAACUUGAUUCUAGAAGUUGAUAACUUGAUAUUACUAUAAAUUUUCACUAAUUCAAUUGGCUUGUUGUAAUACUUGAAAACUUUAAGAAAUGAAAAGGAACGCACGAUUUAAUUUAUCCAAUUCCAUUGUCCUAAUUUUUGAGAGAAUAGAUAGCUUAACGGGAAGAAAGAAGGAAAGUACGCGAUACAAGUUUUAUUAUGAGAAAUGAAAUGAAAAUUUUCAAUUGUCACCAUUAUUCACAAAGUUAAAUGGUUCUCUUUUAUUUUUUAAAUAAAAAAUCUUAUAUUGUACCAUGCAAUAGUCAAUACUAUUUUGUUAAGAAAGAUUAACUAUAAAAACUAUAUUAUUAAUAAAAAUGGAGCCUCAAAAGUUGGGGCCUCAAAUGCCGGAGGGCCCAAAGCCUUUGCUUUAGUGGGUUGACCCUCCAGCCGGCCAUGUAUACGACGUGUCAUUGCAUCUCUGAAGUUGAUUGAACUCCCUAUCGACUUGCAACUACUAAGGAAAAUAGCUAUAAGCUGACCAUUUUUAAGUCCGUUUCUGAUACUAUUGUAGUUUCAGAUAAACAUUCUAGCUUAGCUAGUGAUCAAAUAGACACAUCAACAAAAGCACCUUCACCCACGACCGUUAGGUCCUGGGUUCGAGUCACGCUUGAGGAAAAAUAUGAAAAUACUAUAGAUGCUCUUAAUUUGGGAAAGGAUUAAAAACAAUAGACACAUCAACUCAACAUAAAAUGUGUCUCUUAUUGCAUGCAUGUCAUCACAUUCCUUGGGAAUUUGAAACAAAUUUUGCAUUUUUAUUGUAGCUAAAAUAAAAGUGAUCGCAUAUAUUAAAAAAAGGCUAUCUGGUGCACUAAGCUUCCGCUACCACGGGAUUUGGAGAAGGGUCGGACUACAAAUGUCUAUUGUACGCAGUCUUACCUUGUAUUUCUACGAGAGUUUAUUUUCACGGCUCGAACAAGUGAUCACAUACGAUUAGUAUAAUGUGAAACCAUCAUCAUAUGAGACAUGCCAUCCUUGCCUACAAGGUGGAGCAUUGUCAUCAUACUCAGAACAACAGCUCCAUCUCUUUUACAAGUUUUUUCUUCCUGUAUUUGGCCUCUUAUCCUUGUCGUUCCAUUUAUAGACGAUUACUCCAGAUCCGUCGCUCCAUCCUCCAUCGAUUCCUUGGUGAGGCGAAGCCAGAGAAAAUAGUCCUUUAUCUCCUAUUGAUGCUUAAAAGCAACCAUCCAUAUAGAUAAGAUGAUCAAAGUUUAAAUAGCAGCGAAAGAAAUUAACGAAUAGAAGCUAAAAAGUCAAGUGACUCACUAAUCAUGCAUAAAUCUCACACAACUGAUUAAUUUCCCACAGUAAACACUACUGAAAAAUGUCUUCUAUUCACUUCAAAAUAUUGGAUUUUUGUACCCUUAAACUAAGAGAUUCAGCAGUGAAAUAGAAAAUGAAAGCAACGGUACUAGGAUUAAGGGAAAAGGGUCCAUAUAAAGGAAGAAUUUUCAAACAAUCAAUUUGAUCUGGUGAGAUAAGGUCUGCGUACAUACUACUCUCCCCAGGUUGUGGGAUUAUACUGGUUUAUGUUGUUGUUAUCCAUUAUGAUAAGGACAAGAGUCACUGAUCUAGAUAAAAGUUUACUAUACCAUUCAGAGAAAAUGACAGGACAUCAAGGCAACUCAACUAAUUCACCUAAAUCUACCAUCUAUGUUGCUCGAAUUCUUCAAAAAUACAAUCGCACCCGUCUCGGAUCCUCUAGAAAUGGUACACUUUUGGAAGCAUUUUUAAGAGUGCAAGCAAAAUGUGCAUAGCUCCACAACUUAAAAAUAAAUGACAGGACAUCAUGGUAACUCAAACAAUGGUAUUCACCUAAACCUAUGGCUUUUAGAAUCUAUGAAAACUACAUGCAUAGCUCCAGAAAAUAGAACUCACACAGUGGCAAUUCUAGAUAUACAAAUGUAUGGCAUACCUACAUUGCUCGGACUCUUCAUGUGAUGACCCGAUAGGUCAUCUCGUGUUUUGAAGCCUAAUUAUGUGAUUCGAAGCCUUAAAAUUAUGUUUGGCCUUCCUCGAUUUGAGUGCACAGUCCGGGCGUCUUCCUGGAAAGCUUUUAUGUUAAAAACUGAGAAAAUUAAGAAUGUUUGCCUAAAAACUUCAUUUGAGUCGACUUCGGUUAACAUUUUUAGUAAACAGACCCGGAUUCAUAUUUUCACGAUCUCGGUGGGUCCGUACUACGAUUUGGGACUUGGGCUUAUGCCAGGAAUCGAAUUUGGAAGUCCCUAACCCGAGAUAUCGAACUUGUCGAAGUUUGAAAGUUAAAGGCUUAAUGAAUUUGACAUGUUUGACCUAAUUUUGACUUUUUGGAUAACGGGUCCGUAUUUUAGUUUUGGAAUCCGGUAUCGGUCCAAUACCAUAUAUAUGACUUGUCUGUGAAAUUUGAUGAAAAACGGAAUUGGUUUGAUGUGAUUCGGACGUCCGGUUGUGAAAGUCGAGAUUUCAAAGUUUUCUUGAAAAAUUACAUUUGAUUUGGUGUUCAAUUCAUAGUUUUAGGUAUUAUUUUGGUAUUUUGAUCACGCGAGAAAGUUCGUAUGAUUUUUUAAACUUGCUUGCAUAGCUGGUUUGUAGCCCCGAGGGUUCAAGUGAGUUUCAGAUAGGCUACGGGGUGAAAAUUAGACUUAGAGCAUUGCUCGUGUUUCAGUUUCUGGUGUAAGCCUCCGAUCUCGCAAAUGCUAGAUCAGACAUCGCAUUUGUGACCUCUGCAGGUUCCUCAUUUGCGAGCUAUUUCUCGCAUUUGCGAAGAAUAGCUGGGCCUCAUGACUUUUGCAUUUGCAAACAUUAUCUCGCAUUUGCGAUGGGAGUUGAGGGGGCUACUCUUUGCAUUUGCGAUCACCGGGUCGCAUUUGCGGUCUUGCCUGGGUUCGUGUUUGCGAACUGUCCUUCACAUUUGCGAAGAAUGCAGAAGUGUGAUAUUCUCGCAUUUGCGAUGUAACCUUCGUAUUUGUGGGCUUCGCAUUUGCGAAGCCUAGGUCACAAAUGCGACAUCUACAGCUGAAGAAAUAGGACUUAGAUGGGAUUUUGAUUCAUUCUUUAAAUUUUCAAACCUAAAAACACAAGAGACGAUUUUCCAAAGAACUUUUCAUCCCCAAAUCAUUGGUAAGUGAUCUUAAACUAAUUUCUUUCAAUAUUCCACUACUCUUUCCUAAGAUUCAACCUAAAAUCUAAAGUUUUCAUGGUGGAAUUGGGUUUUUUUAAUGUAUAAACUAGGGAUUUGGAAAAUUAGAGAUUUAGACCUCAAAUUGAGGUCGGAUUCUAAAAUAAAUUACAUAACCGGACUCGGGGGUAAAUGGGUAAUCGGGUUUUGGUCCGAAUUUCAGAUUUGGACCAAGAGGGCCCGGGUGUUGACUUUUGUUGAUAUUUUCAAACAUGGGCUAAAUUGAAUUCUUUACAAUCGUGGGUAUUUCCUAAGUCUUAAAUCUAAUUGUUUGGUUGGUAAUUUGCUAUAUUCUAUCGGUUCGGAGGCUUGUGUGAAAGGAAAUGUCGUGGUUGAGCUUUGAGUUUGGGACGUUGGAGUGAGGUAAGUGUCGUGGUUAACCUUGAUUAAGGGAAUAAGAAUUGUUUGCCUAUUUGCUGCUUGUUUAAAUUGUUAGGAAUAACGUAUAUGUGAGGUGACAAGUACUUAUGCGGUGUAGUUUGGUUAAAGCAUGGGGGUGGAAUGUGGUUUCUUGGAAAUUUAGCUUCCAUUGUUCAUGUUAUCCAUGUUUGGACUAGUAUUAUUAAAUCGAUCGCUUUUAUCAUGCUUACGAAUCUUUUAGUGGUAAUUGAGUAUUGAUUUCGAAUUUGUGGUUGACAUUGUGGAAGUAAGGCUUAUACUUGUUAUUUUAUCUCCAUAUUGUUGUUAUUCAUUGUAUUAUGGUAAGGGAGAGUGUUAAUGUACGAAGGGUGAUGCCGUGCCAUUUUUAUUGAUUUUAUGGUGAGAUUGAGAGUGUUAAUACACGAAGGGUGAUGUCGUGCCAUAUUGUAAGUGUAAUGUACGAAGGGUGAUGUCGUGCCAUGAUAUGAGAGUUAAUGCACGAAGGGUGAUGUCGUGCCAUAAUAUGAGAGUUAAUGCACGAAGGGUGAUGUCGUGCCAUUUCUAUUAAUUUCAUGGUGAGAAUGGGAGUAAAAGCACGAAGGGUAAUGUCGUGCAUUCUUCUUUUACCUGUUCACUGGUUCCUAUUGGUUCAUAGUAUGUUUGUUGUUCACAUUAUCAUUCUGUGGUAGUUCUUUAUCUCGUAUUCCCCUCAGCAUGUUCCCCUCUCCAGGCAUUACUUGUCUAGUUCUUCAUUACUGUUAUUUGUAUAUAUAUUGUUAAAUUAUACAUGUUUGAUUUGUAGGUGUCUUGUCUUAGCCUCGUCACUACUUCAUCGAGGUUAGACUCGACACUUAUCAGUACAUGGGGUUGGUUGUACGGAUACUGCACUCUGCACUUUCUGUGCAGAUUUUGGUACCGACUCUGGCUGAUUGAGAGAUUAGCUGUCGGAUUUGCUAUCAGGAGACCCAAGGUAGAUCUCUCGGCAUUUGCAAACCCUCGAGUCUCUUCUUAGUUUUAUCUUUUACUAUUUUCCUACUUCAAAACAAUGUAUUUUCCCUUCUUCAGACUAUGUUUGUAGUAAUCUUAGUAGCUCGUGAAUUGUGACUCCAGAUCUGGAUGGUUGUAAAUGUUGAAGCCUUUAUAUUAUUUUGUAUUCGCUGUAUUUCAUCUUAAUUUAUUGUUGUUGUUGACUGAAUUGAAUAAGGUUUAGCUUAAUAAUACUCUAACGUUGGCAUGCCUAUCAAGUGGGAUGUUAGGCUCCAUCACAGUCCCGACAGAUAAGUUGGUAUCAGAACACUAGGUUGCCUAGGUCUCACGAUUCACGAGUGAGCUUAAUAGAGUCUGGGGAUCGGUACAGAGACGUCUGUACUUAUAUCCCACUGGUUAUGAAGUUUAGGAACAAAUUUCACUUUUAUUAUUCUCUGUCGUGCGAUUUUGUUUUCUCAAUACUGAUUGAACUUUUCUAUUCUUAUUCUCUCGCAGAUGGCGAGAACACGUACCUCUUCUUCAGCUGAGUAGCUGCCAGAGCAUGGAGUGGCAGCUCCUACGAGGGGCAGAGGUCGAGGCCAAGGCCGUGCUAGAGGCCGAGGUAGGGGCAGGGCUCAGCCCAUAGCCCCAGCAGCAGCCUCAGCAGUGGAGACUCAUGUAGAGUUUAAGGAGGAGGCUCCAGCCUAGACUGCUCCUGUCGGGCCAGAUUAGGUUUCGGAGGGGUUCAUUGCCACCCCAGUGCUUCAGGACGCUCUGGUCCGUUUGGUGGGCCUUAUGGAGUGUGUGACCCAUACUAGCACAUUUCCCACGGUACCAGCCGUCUCUCAGGAUGGAGGAGGAGAAAAGACUCCUGCUACUCACACUCCGGAGCAGAUGGCUCCCCAGUAUCAGACUCCAAUAGCUCAGCCAGUUAGAGUAGUUUAGUCGGUUAUUGCGGUACAGGCCGGUGAGGGGCCAGCUAAAUCUUCUGAGGCUUUAUGGAGAUUAGACAAGUUCACCAAGCUCUUUCUAGUUCAAUUCAGUGGUGCAUCUUCAGAGGACCCCUAGGAGUAUCUUGACAUUUGUCAUGAGGUUCUACGGAACAUGGGUAUAGUGGAGACCAAUGGGGUCGAUUUUGCUGCCUUUCAGAUGACUGGUUCUGCCUAGAAAUGGUGGAGAGAUUAUUUGUUGACUAGACCAGUGGGGUCGCCUGCUCUUACUUGGGACCAGUUCUCUCAGCUCGUCUUGGAGAAGUUUCUCCCUAUCACAUUGAGGGAGGAGCAUCACCGUCAGUUCUAGCGUCUUCAGCAGGGCAGUAUGACUGUUACUCAGUAUGAGACCCAUUUUGUGGAUUUAGCUUGCCAUACUCUUCUUCUACUUUAUACCGAGAGAGAUAGGGUGAUGAAGUUUAUUGAGGGACUUGCUCAGCCUAUCAAGUUGCAGAUGGCUAAGGAGACUGAGAGUGAGAUUUCUUUUUAGGAGGCUGCCAAUAUCGCCAGGCGAGUUUAGAUGGUUCUUGCUCAGGGAGGUCAGGGGUCUAACAAGAGACCUCGUCAUUCCGGUGGGUUCAGCGGUGCCUCGUCUGGAGGCAGGGGUCCGUUUCAUUCAACACUUCAGACAUCCCACUGUGCUCCAGGUGGUCGUGGCCCUCAUAUGCCUUAUUCCGAUCAGCUAGCCUACAGUGGACCACCAGCUCCUAUCCGUGCACCUCCGCUCCAGAGUUUUCAGGGUGGUUACUCAGGUUGACAGGGUCAGUUUCAUGGCCAGCAGUCACAGCAGUCGAGGUCUUGUUAUACUUGUGAUGAUCCGAGGCACAUUGCUAGAUUUUUCCCUCGUGCAUCAAGCAGUUCACAGCAUCAGGGUUCUCGUGCCAUGGUCCCAGCACCGGGUGCUGCACCGCCUGCUCAACCAGCUAGAGGUAGGGGUCAGGCAGCCAGAGAUGGUGGUCCUACUAUUAGAGGUGGAGGUAAGACCACUAGAGGUAGAGGCCAGCCAACCGGGGGCCAUCCUAGAGAUGUAGUUCAGAGUGGUGAAGCACAACCCCAAUGCUAUGCUUUUCCAGCCAGGCCUGAGGCUGAUUCAUCCGACGUCGUUAUCACAUGUACUAUUUUAGUUUGCAGUAGAGAUGCUUCAGUUCUAUUUUAUCCGGGUUCCACUUACUCCUAUGUGUCAUCUUAUUUUUCUUCAUAUUUGGUUGUGCCUCGUAAUUCUUUGAGUGCCCCUGUAUAUGUGUCCACACCUAUGGGGGAUGCUAUUGUUAUAGAUCGAGUUUAUCGUUUGUGUGUGGUAAUCAUUGGGAGUCUUGAGACUAGUGUAGAUAUUCUACUUCUCGACAUGGUUAAAUUUGAUGUUAUACUGGGUAUGGAUUGGUUGUCAUCUUUCCACACUAUAUUGGACUGUCAUGCCAAGACGAUGACCUUAGCCUUGCUGGGGUUGCCUUGAUUAGAGUGGAUAGGGACUCCUGGCCAUUCUACCAGCAGGGUUAUAUCUUAUAUGAAGGCUCGGCAUAUGAUCGAGAAGGGGUGUUUAGUCUAUUUGGCUUAUGUUCGUGAUUCUAGUGCAGAGGUUCCUUCCAUGGAUUCCGUGCCAGUUAUUUGUGAGUUUCCAGAGGUAUUUCCUGCAGACCUUCUGGGGAUGCCACCCGAUAGAGAUAUUGAUUUCUGUAUUGAUUUGGCCCCACGCACUUAGCCCAUUUCCAUUCCUCCAUACCUUAUGGCCCCGCCAGAGUUGAAGGAAUUGAAGGAACAGUUGCAGGAUUUGCUUAAUAAGGGCUUCAUUAGACCUAGUGUCUCGCCCUGGGGUGCACUGGUGUUGUUUGUGAAGAAGAAAUAUGGAUCUAUUAGGAUGUGUAUAGAUUAUCGGCAGUUGAAUAAAGUCACUAUCAAGAAUAAGUAUCCAUUGCCGAGGAUUGGUGAUUUUUUUGAUCAGCUUCAGGGUGCCAAGGUAUUUUCGAAGAUUGAUUUGAGAUCUGCUACCAUCAGUUGAGGAUUAGGGCAUCUGAUGUCCCUAAGACAGUUUUUCAGACUCGGUAUGAGCAUUAUGAGUUUCUAGUGAUGUCCUGGAUUGACAAAUGCCCCAACAACUUUCAUGGAUUUGAUGAACUGAGUGUUCAAGACUUAUUUGGACUCCUUUGUGAUUGUGUUUGUUGAUGAUGUCUUGAUCUAUUCCCGCAGCCGAGAGGAUCAUGAGAAGCAUCUUAGGGUUGUGCUUCAUACUCUGAGAGACAGCCAGUUAUAUGCCAAGUUUUUGAAGUGCGAGUUUUUGUUGGAUUUAGUCGCCUUCUUGGGGAAUGUUGUUUCAGCAGAGGGCAUUUAGGUGGAUCCUAAGAAGAUUGAGGUAGUUCAGAGCUGGCCUAGACCCACUUCAGCUACGGAGAUCAGACGUUUCUUGGGUUUGGUGGGCUAUUACCAUCAAUUUGUGGAGGGGUUUUCAUCUAUAGUAGCCUCAUUGACCAGGUUGACCCAAAAGGGUACCCCGUUCAGAUGGUCAGACGAGUGUGAGGUGAGAUUUCAGAAGCUCAAGACAACUCUGACUACAGCGUCGGUGUUGGUGAUGCCCACAGGUUUAGGAUCUUACACAGUCUAUUGUGAUGCAUCUCGUGUUGGGUUCGGUGCAGUAUUGAUGCAGGCGGGCAGGGUGAUUGCAUAUGCGUCGAAGCAGUUGAAGGUUCAUGAGAAGAAUUACCAUGUCCAUGACUUAGAGUUGGCAACCAUUGUUCAUGUGCUGAAUAUUUGGAGGCACUACCUUUACAGCGUGUCAUGUGAGAUUUUCACUCAUCAUCGGAGCCUUCAGUAUUUGUUCAAGCAAAAGGAUCUCAAUUUAAGGUAGAUGAGGUGCUUGAAGUGGGAAGGAUAAUGUGGUGGCUGACACAUUGAGUAGGAAGGCAGCGAGUAUAGGUAGCGUUGUGUUAAUUACAGUCGGUGAGAGGCCGCUUGCAUCAGAUGUUCAGACUUUGGCCAACCAGUUUGUGAGGUUGGAUAUUUCAGAUCCCAGUCGUGUUCUAGCUUGCAUAGUCGCUCAGUCUUCUUUGUUUGAGCGCAUCAGAGAUCAACACUAUGACGACCCUCAUUUGUUGGUCCUUAGGGACAUAAUGUGGGAUAGUGGUGCCAAGCAGGUUACUGUUGGUGAUGACGGGGUCUUGAAGAUGCAGGGUCGUGUUUGUAUGCCUAAUGUGAAUGGACUUCGUGAGUUGAUUCUUGAGGAGGCCCACAGCUCCCUGUAUUCUAGUCAUCCGGGCCCCACAAAGAUGUAUUAGGACUUGCGGCAACAUUAUUUAUGGAGGAUGAUGAAGAAGGAUAUAGUUGCCUAUGUAGCCCAGUGUCUAAAUUAUCAUCAAGUGAAGUAUAAGCAUCAGAGACCCGGCGGUUUGCUUUAUAAGAUAGAGAUUCCUAAGAGAAAGGGGGAACGUAUCACUAUGGAUUUUGUUGUUGGACUCCCGCGGACUCAGAGGAAGUUCGAUGGAAUUUGGGUCAUUAUGGACAGGCUGACUAAGUCAGCGCAUUUCAUUCAUGUGGCAAUCACCUAUUCUUCAUAGCAGUUUCCAGAGAUUCAUAUCUACGAGAUCGUCUCUCUUCACGGUGUGCCCGUGUCUAUCAUUUCUGAUCAAGGCAUGCAGUUCACCUCGUACUUCUGGAGGGUAGUACAGCGUGACUUGGGCACGCGGGUUGAGUUGAGCAUAGCGUUUCAUCAUUAGACGCACGGAUAGUCCAAGCGCACUAUUCAGAUCUUAGAGAAUAUGCUCUACGCAUGUGUUAUAGACUUCGGAGGAUCGUGGGAUCAGUUCUUGCCCCUUGCAGAGUUCACCUACAACAACAGCUACAAGUUGAGCAUUCAGAUGGCUCCCUAUGAAGCAUUAUAUGGUAGGUGUUGUCGGUCACCAGUUGGGUGGUUCGAGCCGGGGGAGGCUCGGUUGUUGGGCACAAAUCUAGUAUAGAAUGCCUUAAAUAAUGUCAAGAUUAUUUAGGAUCGACUUCGCAUAGCUUAGUCGAGGCAUAAGAGCUAUGCCGACCGUAGAGUUUAUGAUAUUGUAUUCAUGGUCGGGGAGAGAGUGUUGCUCUAGGUAUCACCCAUGAAGGGUGUAAUAAGGUUCAGAAAGAAGGGCAAACUGAGCCCUAGGUAUAUCAGACCUUUUGAGAUUCUGGAGAAAGUGGGAGAGGUGGCUUACAGGCUUGCGUGGCUACCAGGGUUAUCAGUAGUUCAUCCGGUGUUCCAUGUGUCCAUGCUCCAGAAGUAUCACGGCGAUCCGUCCCAUGUGUUAGAUUUCAGCUUUGUCCUGUUGGACAAGGAUUUGACUUACGAGGAGGAGCCGGUGGCUAUUCUAGCCUGUCAGGUUCUUCAGUUGAGGUCGAAGAGUUAUCCUUCAGUUUGAGUGCAUUGGAGAGGUCAGCCCGUCGAGGUAGCUACUUAGGAGUCAGAGUCAGACAUGCGGAGUAGAUAUCCCCACCUAUUCACUAGUUCAGGUACUUUUCUAUGUCCGUUCGAGUACGAACGAUUAUUUUAGAGGUGGAGAAUAUGAUGACCAGAUAGGUCAUCUCGUGUUUUGAAACCUAAUUUUGUGAUCCGAAGCCUUAAAAAUCAUGUUUUAGCCUUCCUCGAUUUGAGCGCGCAGUCCGAGCGUCUUCCCGGAAAGCUUUUAUGUUAAAAACUGAGAAAAUUAAGAAUUUUUGCCUAAAACCUUCAUUUGAGACUUCGGUCAGUAUUUUUCGUAAACAGUCCCUGAUUCGUGUUUUGACGGUCCCGGUGGGUCAGACGUCAGGUUGUGAAAAUAGAGAUUUCAAAGUUUUCUUGAAAAUUGCAUUUGAUUUGGUGUUCAAUUCGUAGUUUUAGGUGUUAUUUUGGUGUUUUGAUCACGCGAGCAAGUUCGUAUGAUAUUUUUAGACUUGUGUGCAUAGUUGGUUUGGAGCCCCGAGGGCUCGGGUGAGUUUUGGAUAGGCUACAGAGUGAAAAUUAGACUUAGAGCAUUGCUGGUGUUUCAGUUUCUAGUGUAGGCCUCUGAUCUCGCAAAUGCGAGAUCAAUAAUCGCAUUUGCAACCUCUGCAAGUUCCGCAUUUGCGAGCUAUUUCUCGCCUUUGCAAAGAAUAGCUGGGCCUCAUGACUUUCGCAUUUGUGAACAUUAUCUCGCAUUUGCGAUGGGAGCUGGGGGGAGGUACUCUUCGCAUUUGCGAUCACCGGGUCGCAUUUGCAGUCUUGCCUGGGUUCGCAUUUGCAAAAAUUCAGAAGUGUGAUGUUCUCACAUUUGUAAUGUAACCUUCACAUAUGCGAGCUUCGCAUUUGCGAAGCCCAGGUCACAAAUGCGACAUGUGCAGCUGAAGAAAUAGGACUUAGACGAGAUUUUGAUUCAUUCUUUAAAUUUUCAAACCUAGAAACACAAGAGGCGAUUUUCUAAAGAACGUUUCUUCCCCAAAUCAUUGGUAAGUGAUCUUAAACUAAUUACUUUCAAUCUUCCACUACAUUUUCCUAAGAUUCAACCUAAAAUCUAUAGUUUUUAUGGUGGAAUUGGGGUUUUGGGUAGAAACUAGUGAUUUGGUAAAUUGAUGAUUUAGACCUCAAAUUGAGGUCAGAUUUCAAAACAAAUUACAUAAUCGGGAUCGGGGGUGAAUGGAUAAUAGGAUUUUGGUCCGCAUUUCGGUUUUGGACCAAGCGAGCCCUAGUGUUGACCUUUUCAAAAAUGGCCUAAAUUGAAUUCUUUACAAUCGUGAGUAGUUCGUAAGGCUUAAAUUGAAUUGUUUGGUCAGUAAUUUGCUAGAUUCUAUCGGUUUGAAGGCUGGUGUGAAAGGAAAAGGCGUGGUUGAACUUUGAGUUUGGGACGUUGGAGUGAGGUAGGUGUCGUGGUUAACCUUGAUUGAGGGAAUAAGAAUUGUUUGCCUAUUUGCUGCUUGUUUAAGUUGUUGGAAACAACGUAUAUGUGAGGUGACGAGUACUUAUGUGUUGUAGUUUGGUUAAAGCAUGCGGGUGGGAUGUGGUUUCUUGCAAAUAUAGCUUCCAUUGUUCCUGUUAUCCCUGUUUAGACCAGUAUUGUUAAAUCGAUUGCUUUUAUCAUGCUUACAAAUCUUUUGGUGGUAAUUGAGUAUUGGUUUCGAAGUUGUGGUUGACAUUGUGGAACCAAAUAUUGAAGUAAGGCUUAUACUUGUUAUUUUAUAUCCCUGUUGUUGUUCAUUGCAUUAUGGUAAGGGAGAGUGUUAAUGCACAAAGGGUGAUGUCGUAUCGUUUCUAUUGACUUUAUGGGGAGGUUGAGAGUGUUAAUGCACGAAGGGUGAUGCCAUGCCAUAUUGUGAGUAUAAUGCACGAAUGGUGAUGUCAUGCCAUGAUAUGAGAGUUAAUGCAUGAAGGGUGAUGUCGUGUCAUUUCUAUUAAUUUCAUGGUGAGGGUGAGAGUAAAAUCAUGAAGGGUGAUGCCGUGCAUUCUUCUUUUACUGUGUUCAUUGGUUCCUAUUGGUUCAUAGUAUGUUUGUUGUUCACAUUAUCAUAUUGCUGUAGUUCUUUAUCUCGUAUGCCCCUCAUCAUGUUUCCCCCUCCCGGUAUUACCUGUGUAGUUCUUCAUUACUGUUAUUUGUAUAUAUACUAUUAAAUUGUACAUAUUUGAUUUGUAGGUGUCUUGUCUUAGCCUCGUCACUAUUUCGUCGAGGUUAGACUCGACACUUACCAGUACAUGGGGUCGGUUAUACUGAUACUGUACUUUGCACUUUCUGUGCAGAUUUUGGUACCGGCUCUCGCUGAUUGAGAGAUUAGCUGUUGGAUUUGCUAUCAGGAGACCCAAGGUAGAUCUGUCGGCAUCCGCAGACCCUGGAGUCUCUUCUUAGUUUUAUCUUUUACCGUUUUACUACUUCAAAAUAGUGUAUUUUCUUUUCUUCAAACUCUAUUUGUAGUAAUCUUAGUAGCUCGUGAAUUGUGACUCCAGAUCCGGGUGGUUUUAAAUAUUGAAGCCUUCAUAUUAUUUGGUAUUCAUUGUAUUUCAUCGUAAUUUAUUGUUGUUGUUGACUGAAUUGAAUAAGGUUUAGCUUAAUAAUACUCUAAUGUUAGUUUGCCUAGCAAGUGGGAUGUUAGGCGCUAUCACGGCCCCGACAGUGGAAAUUUUGGGUCGUGACACUUCAAAAAUGCCGUUGGUUGAGAGUCAUAUCCUCCAAAAGUAGUAUUUUAUUGGAGGAUCCGCGCGGUUGCAGCAACAUUAUUGAGAGUCUGAUCUAGUUGGGUGGUUCGAGCCGGGGGAGGCUCGGUUGUUGGGCACAGAUCUAGUACAGGAUGCCUUAAAUAAUGUCAAGAUUAUUUAGGAUCGACUUCGCAUAGCUUAGUCGAGGCAUAAGAGCUAUGCCGACCAUAGAGUUUAUGAUAUUGUAUUCAUGGUCGAGGAGAGAGUGUUGCUCCGGGUAUCACCCAUGAAGGGUGUAAUAAGGUUCAGAAAGAAGGGCAAACUGAGCCCUAGGUAUAUCGGACCUUUUGAGAUUCUGGAAAACGUGGGAGAGGUCACUUACAGGCUUGCGUGGCUACCAGGGUUAUCAGUAGUUCAUCCGGUGUUCCAUGUGUCCAUGCUCCAGAAGUAUCACGGCGAUCCGUCCCAUGUGUUAGAUUUCAGCUUUGUCCGGUUGGACAAGGAUUUGACUUACGAGGAGGACCCGGUGACUAUUCUAGCCUGUCAGGUUCGUCAGUUGAGGUCGAAGAGCUAUCCUUCAGCUCGAGUGCAUUGGAGAGAUCAACCCGUCGAGGUAGCUACUUAGGAGUCAGAGUCGGACAUGCGGAGUAGAUAUCCUCACCAAUUCACUAGUUCAGGUACUUUUCUAUGUUCGUUCGAGUACGAACGAUUGUUUUAGAGGUGGAGAAUAUGAUGACCCGAUAGGUCAUCUCGUAUUUUGAAACCUAAUUCUGUGAUCCAAAGCCUUAACAAUCAUGUUUUAGCCUUCCUCGAUUUGAGCGUGCAGUCCAAGCGUCUUCCCUAAAAGCUUUUAUGUUAAAAACUGAGAAAAUUAAGAUUUUUUGCCUAAAACCUUCAUUUGAGACUUCGGUCAGUAUUUUUAGUAAACAGACCCUGAUUCGUGUUUUGACGGUCCCGGUGGGUCAGACGUCAAGUUGUGAAAAUAGAGAUUUCAAAGAUUUCUUAAAAAUUGCAUUUGAUUUGGUGUUCAAUUCGUAGUUUUAGGUAUUAUUUUGAUAUUUUGAUCAUGCGAGCAAGUUCAUAUGAUAUUUUUAGACUUGUGUGCAUAGUUGGUUUGGAGCUCCGAGGGCUCGGGUGAGUUUCGGAUAGGCUACGGGGUGAAAAUUGGACUUAGAGCAUUGCUGGUGUUUCAGUUUCUAGUGUAAGCCUCUGAUCUCGCAAAUGCGAGAUCAAUAAUCGCAUUGGCAUCCUCUAUAGGUUUCGCAUUUGCGAGCUAUUUCUCACAUUUGAAAAGAAUAGCUGGGCCUCAUGACUUUCGCAUUUGCAAACAUUAUCUCGCAUUUGCGAUGGGAGCUGGGGGGAGGUACUCUUCGCAUUUGCGAUCACCGGGUCGCAUUUGCAGUCUUGCCUGGGUUCGCAUUUGCAAAGAAUUCAGAAGUGUGAUGUUCUCACAUUUGCAAUGUAACCUUCACAUAUACGGGCUUCGUAUAAUGCGACAUGUGCAGCUGAAGAAAUAGGACUUAGACGGGAUUUUGAUUCAUUCUUUAAAUUUUCAAACCUAGAAACACAAGAGGCGAUUUUCUAAAGAAUGUUUCUUCCCCAAAUCAUUGGUAAGUGAUCUUAAACUAAUUUCUUUCAAUCUUCCACUACAUUUUCCUAAGAUUCAACCUAAAAUCUAAAGUUUUCAUGGUGGAAUUGCGGUUUUGGGUAGAAACUAGUGAUUUGGUAAAUUGGUGAUUUAGACCUCAAAUUGAGGUCGAAUUUCAAAAUAAAUUAUAUAAUCGGGAUCGGGGAUGAAUGGAUAAUCGGGUUUUGGUCCGCAUUUCGGUUGUGGACCAAGCGGGCCUGAGUGUUGACCUUUUCAAAAAUGGCUUAAAUUGAAUUCUUUACAAUCGUGAGUAGUUCCUAAGGCUUAAAUUGAAUUGUUUGGUCGGUAAUUUACUAGAUUCUAUCGGUUCGGAGGAUGGUGUGAAAGGAAAAGGCGUGGUUGAACUUUGAGUUUGGGACGUUGGAGUGAGGUAGGUGUCAUGGUUAACCUUGAUUGAGGGAAUAAGAAUUGUUUGCCUAUUUGCUGCUUGUUUAAAUUGUUGGAAACAACGUAUAUGGGAGGUGACGAGUACUUAUGUGUUGUGGUUUGGUUAAAGCACGCGGGUGGGAUGUGGUUUCUUGCAAAUUUAGCUUCUAUUGUUCCUGUUAUCCCUGUUUAGACCAGUAUUGUUAAAUCGAUCGCUUUUAUCAUGCUUACAAAUCUUUUGGUGGUAAUUGAGUAUUGGUUUCGAAGUUGUGGUUGACAUUGUGGAACCAAAUGUUGAAGUAAGGCUUAUACUUGUUAUUUUAUCUCCAUGUUGUUGUUCAUUGCAUUAUGGUAAGGGAGAGUGUUAAUGCACAAAGGGUGAUGUCGUACCGUUUCUAUUGACUUUAUGGUGAGGUUGAGAGUGUUAAUGCACGAAGGGUGAUGCCAUGCCAUAUUGUGAGUAUAAUGCACGAAGGGUGAUGUCGUGCCAUGAUAUGAGAGUUAAUGCACGAAGGGUGAUGUCGUGUCAUUUCUAUUAAUUUCAUGGUGAGGGUGAGAGUAAAAGCACGAAGGGUGAUGCCGUGCAUUCUUCUUUUACUGUGUUCAUUGGUUCCUAUUGGUUCAUAGUAUGUUUGUUGUUCACAUUAUCAUAUUGCUGUAGUUCUUUAUCUCGUAUGCCCCUCAUCAUGUUUCCCCCUCCCGGUAUUACAUGUGUAGUUCUUCAUUAAUGUUAUUUGUAUAUAUAUUAUUAAAUUGUACAUGUUUGAUUUGUAGGUGUCUUGUCUUAGCCUCGUCACUAUUUCGUCGAGGUUAGACUCGACAUUUACCAGUACAUGGGGUCGGUUAUACUGAUACUGUACUUUGCACUUUCUGUACAGAUUUUGGUACCGGCUCUGGCUGAUUGAGAGAUUAGCUGUUGGAUUUGCUAUCAGGAGACCCAAGGUAGAUCUGUCGGCAUCCGCAGACCCUGGAGUCUCUUCUUAGUUUUAUCUUUUACCGUUUUACUACUUCAAAACAGUGUAUUUUCCCUUCUUCAAACUCUAUUUGUAGUAAUCUUAGUAGCUCGUGAAUUGUGACUCCAGAUCCGAAUGGUUUUAAAUGUUGAAGCCUUCAUAUUAUUCAGUAUUCGUUGUAUUUCAUCUUAAUUUAUAGUUAUUGUUGACUGAAUUGAAUAAGGUUUAGCUUAAUAAUACUCUAAUGUUAGUUUGCCUAGCAAGUGAGAUGUUAGGCGCUAUCACGACCCCGACAGUGGAAAUUUCGGGUCGUGACACUUCAAAAAUACCGUUGGUUGCGAGUCAGAUCCUCCAAUAGUAGUAUUUUAUUGGAGGAUCCGCGCGGUUGCAACAACAUUAUUGAGAGUCUGAGCAAUAUAGCGGCAGACUACCCCUGAAACCCCCAUGCUCCUAGUUGGCCCAAAAUCUAUUAUCUCUCUCUAUCUAUCUAUCUAUCUAUCUCCUCUUCCUCUUCCUCUUUCUUCUUCACACACAUUUCUAGUGGUCUUUAAGACCUCAAUCACUUCAAAGUUCUCUUGUCAGCUUCUGGCAUAGGAAAUUGCAGCAGCUUCAACACAACUGUUUUCCUUCAGAUGAGUACAUGCUACUAGACGCUAUACAACCCAAACACCUUAUCCUCGUCUGACAUAUUCCAUCAGAUCAAGAUACACAGGAGGGGGGGACCAAACCAAACCCCAUAAACAUUGUGGAUUGAGUAAUCUCUUGCCUGCAACAAGAGUCAACUAUUUCUUGUCUCCAAAUAAACUCAAAACCCACUCCCAUAAACCAAGUUUAUAAAAGGCUCAAGCUCUUUCAAUCUCAUCAAUGUUGGGAAAAGUUGAGUAUCAUAAGGGGUGGGGUAGACAAUAAAUCAACACAGAAGCAAGCCACUGAUGGAAGAGGCAGGGGAACACUAUCUUGUUUAACAUUAUCCCAUUUUUCCUAUAUAUUCCAGAUUCAACUACUACUGAAAGAAGCAAAAGAGGGAUACGAUGGGCUUUUAACUAAGGUGAGGUUCACUGAUCUAAACAAAAUAACUUUGAAGAAGUAUUAGCAAACUCAAUGUGACAGACUGAAAACUUCUUUACUCCCAACACCUGAGGACUUCUUAUUCUACUGCUCAAUUUCCUCACAAAAAAACAGAGUCUGUAACCAGCUAUGCUGCUUGGACCCUCUAAAAUACUGCUGCUCCCAUGUCGGAUCCUCUAAUAUUUUCGAAUGUUGGAGGAUCCAAUACAUAUGCAACAAUAUGUUUUAAGAGUUCGAGAUAUAUAGUAACCAGAUAAACUUUUCCAUUUUGAGAAGAAAAAUAAAAUAAAGUGAAUCGACCACCUAAUUGGUAACUAGAAACUUCUGAUAAGACACAUAUAAUUAAGUUGGCGAUGCGACACAAAAACAAGGGAAGAAGAUACAUAAGCUGUUGAAUCCCUUAAUUUCAUGGGAGUCAACAUGCUCGAACUGCCCAUUGGUGGUAGUGUGGUAUGUCCUUAAUGGUACUCUAUAUUUUGUCUCCAAGUUUUUAGAUCAAAUAGUAAGUUUUGGAUCCUUUCAACUAAAUGGUGAGAAGAGGAAACAAAGGUUUUGACAAAUUAAUGUAGGUAACGAAAGGCUUUUAUUUAAAUAAAACACAUACUAAGAGUCAUUACAACAUGUGACUAGUCUAGGCAAAAGGAAAACAAAGACAUCAUUGUUGAGUUGUGUGAAGUUUUACAUAUUUAUUGUGUAAUUAUUCAGAUAAAAGAAAAUUUUGUUCUUGGUCUCAAAUAUAUAGCUUGUUGGAAAUCAUGGGCAAAAGAAACAAAGGAGAGUUAAGAAAUCUACAUCCUAAUUCUUGUUUUCGGUGAGUUCUGGUGGCGGCUGGUGGGUCUGGCGGCGACCGCCUUAGGGGUGGAGUAGUUAGGUCUCUCUAGUGUUAGGUUUUUUUGUGAAAGAUGGAGUUUAUAUAUGAGGGUAUAGGGAAAUAUGGGCCAUUGGAUGUGAAGGGGGUGAAUGGCUGGGAUUAAAAGGAGAGAUGGAUCACAUGGGUUAUAGGUCUUGGGCUUAAUGGAUUGGGCUAAAUUUUAGCCGUAAUUGGGCCUUUUCUUGCCUAAUAUUGAUGGAAUAAUGAGCCUAAACUAUUAAAAUAUUAUAAAAUAUUAAUUAGUCUUAUUUGAGUAGAGUAAACUAUUAAAAUAAAACUAAAUACGAAAACAAAACUAUAUUUGGUAAUUUUCAAAUAUCAUACUAAAAUAAAAAUAUAAGUAGGUUAAAAUCCUAGCGAAAUUAAAAUAAUAUCACUACAAAUUGACUAAUGACCUCAAUAGAAAUGAAAAUAUUUUUGUGUUGUUUUUUUUUCAAAUUGUAAUUUGAAGUAAACAAAUAUUGACUAAAACUCCAUAAAUAUAAAUUUAAGUUAAAUAAAUAUGUUAAACAUUAAAAAUACGUGACUGGUAAAAAAUUACGUGCUUACAGCUGCCCAUCUUUGCUUGGAAAUUCGAAGAACUUUUUAGCAAAGAAAUAAGCAACGUAAUUGAUUCCUUACCCGACACUUAUUCAAAAGAAAAUGAAAAUAGAUAAAACGAUUAGACCGAGCCCUGGUAUAUGAGCUGCGUACAUAUCCUUGGCUAUAAAGGAAUCAUGCCAUAUGUAGUUCAGAAGUGAAUAAAGUGAUGUAGUAUGUGGAGAGGAUGAGAGAGUCGAUUGAGGUACCGUCGAGGUUCCGGUCCGCGUUUUCUACCAUUACAUUAGAAAUGAAAAGGCAAAUAAAAAUUACAUGGAAACUACAAAAUCCUAUCUUGAAUCUUUUAUAGUCUUGUUGUGCAUCUCGAAUUGUUGACUCGCAUUCUUGAGGCGAGUUUCUACUACUUUUAACUUGAAUAGACCCUAUUCUUCAGGCGGGCUCCUGCUAUUGACUUGAAGCUUGAACUAACUCUGAAAUGAAUUCCCUCGUUCUCUAGGUGGGCGCCUGCUAAUGACUUGAAAUUUUAAGUAACUCUAAAAUGAAUUCCCUCGUUCUCCAGGUGGGCGCUUGCUACUGACUUGAAAAUUGAAAUAACUCUGAAAUGAAUUCUCUGUUCUCCAGGUGGGCGCCUGCUACUGACUUGAAAUUUAAAGUAACUCUGAAAUGAAUUCCCUCGUUCUCCAGGUGGGCGCCUGCUACUUCUCUGACUUUAACCUGAAACCAAUUUCUGAAAUAUUGACCCUCGUUCUCCAGGUGGGUGCCUACAAUCAAAAACAAUAAAACAAAUAUAAUAUUCUACCCCAGUAUGCACUAGGAGGAUUUGUGAGUUGUUAGCAAUACUGUAAAUCACCUAUGCUAUUGAUGAAGGAUGCAAUGAUGAGGGUAAAAUUAAAUACUCGACUAGGAUGUUUGUCUCUUGUGGGUGCAUCCUUUAAGAGUAAAAUUGACAAACUUAGAUUAGGAAGUCUGUCUCCUAAAAAUUUAAUACAGAUGACCCAAAUUAGGAUAUGCAUCUCGUAGGGGUAAAACUUGAAUAACUUAGAUUAGGAAGUGCAUCUCCUAGGAGUGAAACUUGUAAUCUAAAAUUAGGAAGUUCGUUUCCUAAAAAUAAAAUCAUAAAAACCUAGACUAGGAAGUACGUCUCCUAGGGGUGGAACUUAAACGACUCAAACUAGGAAGUGCGUCUCCUAAGGGUGAAAUCUCAAUUUAGGAAGUGCGGCUUCUAAAGGUAUAACCUAAAAGACCCAGACUAGGAAGUGCGUCUCCUAGGGGUAAAACUUGAAUGACUCAAACUAGGAAGUGCAUCUCCUAGGGAUUAACUUAAAUGACCAAAACUAGGAAGUGUGUCUCCUAAAAAGUAUAAUCUUGAAAGACUCAGACUAGGAAGUGCGUCUCCUAGUGAUAAAACUUGAAUGACUCAAACUAGAAAGUGCGUCUCCAAGAGAUAAAACUUGAAUUACUCAAACUAGGAAGUGCGUCUCUUAGGGAUGAACUUAAACGACCAAAACUAGGAAGUAUGUCUCAUAAAAAGUAUAAUCUGAAAGACCCAGACUAGGAAGUGCGUCUCCUAGGGGUGAAACCUUUAACACAAAAUUAGGAAGUGCAUCUCCUAAAAAGUGUAGCCUAAAAUAUUUAAACUAGGAAGUGUGUCUCCUAGAUGUGAGAUUGGGCUUGAGAAAAACAAUAAACUAAGCUAGACUAAAAUAAAAACUGACACUAUUCUCCAGGUGGGACCCCUGAGCUCAAGAAAAACUAAUGAUUACCAACCUAACAAAAUUGAAAAUUGACCCUAUUCUCUAGGAGGGACCCCUGAACUUUAUGAAAAACUAAAGAUUACUAAAACUGAACCUAUUCUUCAGGCGGGACCCCUGAACUCAAGGAAAACUAAUGAUUACCAACCUAACGAAAUUAAAAACUGACCCUAUUCUCUAGGAAGAAAUCCUGAACUCAAGAAAAGCUAUAGAUUCCUCUCAACUAGGGAUAUGCCUAGGAGGUAUGGUUCUUCUGAGCUAGGAAAAAUGCCUAGGAGGUAUGAUCUUCUCAAUAGCCUUUGCGUUAGUAGAAUUGGGGAAUUACACCUGAAAAAUUCAAGCUUCCAAGCUUUGAUAUGAACGUAGCCUUCAUCGUUGUUUUAGACAAAGAAAACUUGUGAGUUUUAAACAUGGUGGUUAGUUUGUGGCUUUGACUGAUGGCGAUUUCUCUUGAACUUGUCAUGAUGUACUUGGACUUCGACUUGGAAGACAGUGCUUGUUAUCGGCCAACCACUUUUCUGGACAACCCUUAUCACAAGAAAUAUUCCUGAUUCGCUCAAGUCCAAUACCUUAUACCCAAUGCAUUGCACUCGUAUUCUAACAUUCGCCAAAUCUUUGCAUUUUACAUCAAUCCCAAAGAACAUCUAUUAUCAUCAACUUAGUGCACACACUAUUCUCCCAUGUCUUAUGCCAUUUUUAUGUGCUUGCAAGAUUCUGCUUUGUGUGAUUAAAAAGCUGGUAGCAGGUGUUUAAGUCAUUUCUCACUUGUUUCGACAAAACUAGUCUCAAAAGGGACUCAAACAAAACAAGAGGAACAAAGUAAAGAGAAGAACGAGAAGAGAUAGUAUCUAACAAGAACAUGUUUUACCCAGGAAAAAGAACAAAGUAGAAACUAACUUGAUUUGAAUGCUAGCUCCACUAAUCAUGCCAUGCAUUUUGGAUAAAGCGGCCUGAUCUGUCAAGCGAGUUUAAUAUUCAACUCUUGUUAUACUUCAAAGCUGUGAAACUGGGCCUCAGGGCUUCAAUUGUCCUAUCUGAUCCAUGAUCCUCAGUCGACUUGUAGUGCCCUGAAAGGUUUUUACCAUCAAGCCUCUCUCAUUUUUUUCUUUUUCUCAACUCACUGUUGCCUUAUGGUGCCCAUGAAGGCUUUCACCGAUAAGAUUCUCUCAUUUUAUCAUUUUCUCUCUUUGUGCUAAGAACAAGGUAUUACCCAUGAUACACGAAGAUCAUACUUUUACCACUCACUUGAUUAGAUUGGUUGGAAGGUCUUUCUUUGGACCGUAAUGUAGGCUUUUGAAUAGGGUUAAAAAGAAAGGAUGAUAUAAAGGCUCAAAACAAUUAAAAUGAAAGGGGUUUUUAACUUACAACUUUUGGAAUCAGAUCUAUUUACAAAACUAAAACUUCUGCCCCAGUUUCUUUAAGUCUGAAGAAUUUUGGAUUUUUAUUUUGAUAAGACUGAACCACAGAGUAAGGCUGCCUACGUAUCCUUAAAAGAAAUCAGGUCGAACCUAGUUCCAAAGUACAAUUCGUUUUGUUUUUCCCUUUUUUUUCUUUUUUUUCUUUUUUAUUUUUUCUCUUUUUAUCUUCUUUUUUUGUGAUUUUUUUCAUUUUUCAUUUUUCUAACUUUAUUUCGGAUUCCAAAAGAGGGGUAUGAAAGAAAACAAAUUAAGGCUCAACAGGGGUGGCAAAAGAUAAAAGUGUUUGGGUAGAAGAAUAAAAUACCUUCGUCAUAUCAAACUUUAGAAAUGCCAAGUACAAACAUGCUAUUGAAGAUAAGAAAAGAAAUCAUACAUAGUAUCUAUUGAUGGCAUCAUUACAAAUAAAAAGUGCCAAUGAGCAAUACCUUUGUUCCAAUGAAUGACCCUUGCCAGUUUGAAGCAGACUUGACUCAACCUUAUCUUGAUGUAGAAGGAUGCAUUUCAACACUGACUAAUCUACCUCAAACUGCUUGAGAGGCAUUUUCAUGUUGUAUGCUCUUAUCAAUCUCUUGAUUUCCCAGACUAACUGCCUCAGUUUCACUCAAUUCAAGCUUCAGGUUAUCUUAGAAUGCGUGAAUCUUUACUUGUUUUAUCAAAUACAUCUUUUUAUCAUAUUCAAAAUUGUGUUUCAUUAUUUCAUGAUUAGACUGGCUUUCAAGAUCUGGCUAAAAACUCUACAUGCAUGUCAUGUCACUAUAACUGGCGUGAAGAGAACUAUAUACAAGAAAAAGAACUAAACGAAGACUGCAACUAACAGAAAAACAAAAUCUCAUUUGACCAAAGGAUGGAAGGGUUUUAACAACAUAAUAAAAGCUAUAUUAAAGCCCCGAGCCAUGACAGACUUAGAGACACAAAACUAACUAACAAGACUCCUCGAGUUAGGCAAAAGAGGAUAGAAUGGUUUGAAUAAAAAACAAACAAGAUAAAAUCUGGAUUACAUUACUAAAAUAACCCAGAUAGCAGAAAAUAUAUCAAAAUAAACUGCCAAGACUCCUUCUUGGCGAGGAAUUGAGGUGCUUUCUAAUUACUAAGCUCGAGAUCUUAGCCACUGAGUUGCACAUAAAAAAUUCACAAAUUUCAAUCACAUUGUCUUCACUAAGUGGAUUAUUGACUCUUUUAACCAACCCUUCCUCAACACUGACUGUUGAAUUAGCAAUUGACCACCUAAGAGAUCUUGCCGCAAAUGACUCACCAAAGGACUUGAAAGAACCUGCACAUUCGUUGUCAUUGUAAAUCAUCCUAACAAUUUGUGCGGUGUCAUGUACCUUUAGAGGAUUUUGUGUGACACUUGGGGUAUUACUGCCUUGGACCACAAUUUCCCUUCUGGAGUCAUUCUUUAUAUUUCCCUUUUCAAAGCAUGACAAUCUUCAGUGCUAUGCCCUUGGACAUUAGAGUGAUACAUGCACCGUACAGUAUGAUCAAAACCUUUUUCAUAUGGAUCUGGAGUAUAGUCAAGGAGUGGCUCAAUCAAGCCAGAAUGUUUUAACGUUUCAAACAAGCUUGUGUAGGAUUCCCCGAUUGUAGUGAAACUAUUUAUUUGCCUUUGUUCCCCUCCAUGCCCCUAUUUUCUAGGGUUAUUGGGUGCUCGGAAAUGUUGUUAAGGCGAAAGAGUAUUUCGCGGUGCUGGUGCUCGCCAUAAGGAGUGGCCUAGUGGUUAAACAGAUGACUGGACAUUAUACGAGGAUAAUUUUGGCUAUGAUUAUGUGGAGCUCGGGGAUAGGUUUGGGGUUGGGGUCGAGGAUAAGUAUAUUGGUGAGACGGACCAUUUGAGCCAUGUCGUAAUCCUGAGACAAACAUGGCAACAUCAUCCUUUUUCUUCUGACCCGAAAAGCUUCCUUUGUCGUUCUGAAUUGCUUGUGUUGUGGCUUUUAAGGCAAAAUAUAUCAUGAUAUUGCUUGACUUCAACCCAUCUUCUACAAUUUCUCCCAUUUUUACCAAAUCAUUAAAAGGCUUACCCACGGCCGAGAUCAAAUGCCCAAAGUAAGUAGGCUCUUGAGCUUGAAGAAAGUACUCAACCAUCUCGUCUUCUUCCAUCGAGAGAUUGACUCGGGCAGCUUGCUCUCUCCAUUUGUGCCCGUAUUCCCUAAAGCUUUCACUAGGCUUCUUUUCUACCUUCGUCAGGGAUAGAUGAUCUGGGAUAAUGUCUAUAUUAUACUGAAAGUGACGGGCAAAAGCCUGAGCCAUAUUGUCCUAUGUGUACCAUCUACUAGCAUUUUGUCGGGUGUACUAUUCCAGAGCUGCCCCACUUAGACUCUGACUGAAAUACGCCAUCAAUAACUCAUCCUUUCCACUGGCGCCUCUCAUCUUACUGCAAUAAACUCUGAAGUGGGCUACGGGAUCCUAUGUACUUCGUAUAGAUGAAACUUUGGCGUCUUAAACCCGGUGGGCAAUUGGACGUCAGGAAUAAUCACAAGCCCUUGUAAGCCACACUUACUUGGCUUCCUAUCCAUUGAAUGUUCCUUAAAUAUUGCUCCAGACUCUUCACUUUCCUGAAUAUCUCAUCUUGCUCCACGUUCUUAGAUGGAUUCUCGGUUUCAACAGGAGGCUUAAAGAGAGGGGUGUAACAAUAAGGAUUCGGGACCUUGAAGGUUGGUUAUGGAGCAUAAUAUUUGGCAUAUGGAGCUUUGAAGGCGGGUUCACUAGAAACUCGGUGGAGGGUAGCUUGUGGAAGGGCUACAAAAAUAGGAGUAGAUGUCGGAGCAGGGUAUGAGGUUGUUUUGGCUGGUGGAUCAUGAAAAGUUUGGGAUGAGGUGCUAGGGUAGUUUUAGUAAGAGGUAAAGCCCGGUGAAUAUUGAGGGAAGAGGUCAACGGUAGUGGGAACCUGGGCUUGUGACAGUGGCGGGAUGGAAGUAGGGUUUUCUGUAUAGUUAGUGGGAAAUGAGUGUGGAGGAUGACCACUAAUCUAGGCAUGGUACAUCUCUAUAAUCUUGUUGUUUUAACCUUAGGACCUCUUCUUUCAACUCAGAUUUUGAUUCGACAAUCCCCAACAAUGACUACAAUAUCACGAACUCUACGGUCGGCAUAACUCUUCUUCCUGGACUGAGCUAUGCGAAGUCGAUCCUGAAUAAUCUUGACCUUAUCCAAGGUAUCCUAUACUAGAUAUGCACCCAACAACCGAGCCUCCCCGGGCUCAAACCACCCAACUGGCAAUCGGCACUGCCUACCGUAUAAUGCCUCAUACGGAGCCAUCUGAAUGCUCGACUGGUAGUUGUUGUUGUAGGCAAACUCUGUAAGGGGAAAGAACGAAUCCCACGAUCCUUCGAAGUCUAUGACACAUGUGCGGAGCAUAUCCUCCAAGAUCUGAAUAGUGCGCUCAGACUUUCCGUCCGUAUGAGGAUGAAAUGAUGUACUCAACUCAACCCUCGUGCCCAACUCACACUGUACUGCCCUCCAGAAGUGCGAGGUGAACUGCGUACCUCGAUCAGAAAUAAUAGAUACGGGCACACCGUGAAGAUGGACGAUCUCGUAGAUGUAAAUCUCUGCCAACUGCUCCGAAGAAUAAGUAACUGCCACAGGAAUGAAAUGCGCUAACUUAGUCAGCCUGUCCACAAUGACCCAAACAACAUCAAACUUCCUAUGAGUCCGUGGGAGUCCAACAACGAAAUCCAUAGUGAUGCGCUCCUACUUGCAGUUAGGAAUCUCUAUUUGCGAAAGCAAACCACCGAGUCUCUGAUACUCAUACUUCACUUGCUGACAAUUGAGGCACCGAGCGAUAUAAGAAACUAUAUUCUUCUUCAUCAUCCUCCACCAAUAAUGUUUCCCCAACUCCCGAUACAUCUUGGUGGCUCCCGGAUAAAUAGAAUACCGGGAACAGUGGGCUUUCUCAAGAAUCAACUUACGAAGUCCAUCCACAUUAGGCAUACAAACACAACCCUGCAUCCUCAAGACUCUGUCAUCUCCAACAGUAACCUGCUUGGCACCAUUGUUCUGCACUGUGUCCCUAAGGACCACCAAAUGAGGGUCGUCAUACUGCCGAUCUCUGAUACGCUCAAACAAAGAAGACCGAGCUAUUGUACAAGCUAGAACAUGACUGGGCUCUGAAAUAUCCAACCUCACAAACUAGUUGGCCAAAGUCUGAAUAUCUAAUGCAAGCGGCCUCUCACCGACUGGAAUGAACGCAAGGCUACCCAUACCCAUUGCCUUUCUACUCAAGGCAUCGGCCACUAUGUUGGCCUUCCCGGGAUGAUAUUAGAUGGUGAUAUCAUAGAUUUUCAAUAGAUACAACCACCUCCUAUGCCUCAAAUUGAGAUCCUUAUGCUUGAACAAAUACUGAAGGCUCCGAUGAUUCGUGAAAAUCUCACACGACUCACCAUAAAGAUAGUGCCUUCAAAUCUUCAGUGCGUGAACAAUGGCUGCCAACUCUAAGUCAUGGACAAGGUAAUUCUUUUCAUGCACCUUCAACUGCCGCGACGCAUAUACAAUCACCCUACGCUCCUGCAUCAAUAUUGCACCAAGCCUAACACGGGACGCAUCACAAUAUACCGUGUAAGAUCCUGAACCUGUGGGCAACACCAACACUGGUCCUGUAGUCAAAGAUGUCUUGAGCUUCUAAAAUCUCUCCUCACACUCGUCUGACCAUUUGAAUGGGGCACCAUUCUGGGUCAACUUGGGCAAUGAGGCUGCUAUAGAUGAGAACCCAUCCACAAAUCGAUGGUAAUAGCCCGCCAAACCCAAGAAACUCAUGAUCUCCAUAGCUGAAGUGGGUCUAGGCCAAUUCUGGACUGCCUCAAUCUUCUUAGGAUCUACCUGAAUGCCCUCUGCUGAAACAACGUCGCCCAAGAAAGCGACUGAAUCGAACCAAAACUCGCACUUCAAAAAUUUAGCAUAUAAUUGGUUGUCUCUUAGACUCUGAAGCACAAUCCUAAGAUGUUGCUCAUGCUCCUCUCGACUGUGAGAGUAGAUCAAGAUAUCGUCAAUAAACACAAUCACAAAGGAGUCCAAAUAAGGCUUGAACACUUGGUUCAUCAAAUCCAUGAAUGCUGCUGGAGAAUUUGUCAACCCAAAAGACAUCACUAGAAACUCAUAAUGCAUGUACCGAGUAUGGAAAGUUGUCUUAGGGACAUAUGAUGACCUAAUCCUCAACUAAUGGUAGCCAGAUCUCAAAUCAAUCUUCGAAAACACCUUGGAACCCUGAAGUUGAUCAAAUAAAUCAUCAAUCCUCGGCAAUGAAUACUUAUUCUUGAUGGUGACUUUGUUCAAUUGCCGAUAAUCUAUACACAUCCUCAUAGUUCCAUCUUUCUUCUUCACAAACAACAUCGGUGCACCGCAAGGCGAGACACUAGGUCUAAUGAAGCCCUUAUUAAGCAAAUCCUGCAAUUGUUCCUUCAAUUCUUUCAACUCUGGUAGGGCCAUACAGAAUGGUAGAAUGGAAAUUGGCUAAGUGCCCGGGGCCAAAUCAAUACAGAAAUCAAUAUCCCUGUCGAGUGGCAUCCCCGGCAGGUCUGCAGGAAAUACCUCUGGAAACUCACGAACAACUGGAACGGGAUCGAUGGAAGGAACCUCUACACUAGAAUCACG